rnacentral:lncRNA from 1 species
AAAAAAAAAAAAAAACAAGUUGAUCUGACGGACGCAACAAACGAAGAACUUGCGUGCCUAACACCUUACAGUUUUUGGUGCAUUUUCAUUUGGUUACUUCUUAUAUAAAAGCGAAGAAACCUUUGUUCACACCACGAUCUCCCUCUCUUCACUGUAUAUCUUUAAAUUCAUCAUCUCUAGAUCUUGCACGUUCAAGUCACAUCAUCAUGCAAAUGCAUGGAAAUUAUCCAUGAAGCCAUCCUUUUAACUAUGAGGAUAUAUUGUUAGAAAGUAAUCUAUGUUAGAAAAGAUUAGUGCUAUGACGGGAGGUUGGUAAGAAAGCUUGUUAAUGCAAUAUAAAAUUUCAAGCUAAGCUACAUUUUAAUUGUUUUUUUUAUUUGCUCACUGGUGCAUUUUGCCACUUGAGUAAACAUUUAACAUUAAUUUUUUUUGUCUGUAUUAAGAAAUGGUUGUGCCAGAGGUGAACAAAAAUAUAUUAGAGGAACUUGAAGCUAUGGGCUUUCCAACAGCACAAGCAACCCGUGCACUCUUUUAUUCUGGUGAGUUGUUUGUAAAGUCAGAACGUAAAUCUCUUUUAUUUUGAGUUCAAACACUUGGAAUGUUAUUUCUUCAUCACUUGAGUAUAGUCAACUUAUCAGAACUCUCUAGUCAAAUUAGUAUCUGGAUUCACAACUUCACGAACGUGAGAGCAGCUGAAUAUGGUUAAAUUUAAUUCUUAUCUUUUAGAUUAAGCAUCUUUGUCCAUUGCUCAUUUAAUUGGAAGUGCUAGGGUAGGCUCUUUAAACCAUUCAGACUCUCUCGGGUGAUAACUGAUAGCAUAGAUAGAAGGGCAAAAUUUAAGAGUAACUUCAAUGCAACCAAAACAUUAGAAAGAGAGGGGCCAAGGAUCUAUGGUACAAUGCUGGUAAGCCUUCCUCUAUGGUGUAUGGAUUUAUUGGGCGCAAGGUCUUAUUUCAUGACAAUGCUGGAAGGAGGUGGUAUAUGUGGCCAAAUGUCAUUACUUUUGUUGGAGUGUUUAUGAACCUCCCCUUUUAACCUUCUACCAAGUUCCAACAUAAGUGAUUCGGUUUAGAGUAGCUUUUUGUAACUACUAUGGUUUGCCGUGGUCUUUUGUAUGCUUGUAAUGGGAGCACUAAAGCAAUUUGUCACUUUUUCCCAUGUUAAUAUAAACUUAUUUGUUAUAUCUCUCUUAUCCUCAGCUGUUGGAUCCUUUCUUGUAAUUCUUUUUUUUUUGGCUCCUGUUGAGUGGACUUUUUUGGAUUGCCACAUGUAUUAUUUCAUUUGCUCAAAUAAAAUUAGAUUUUCAUUAAAAAAAGAGUAGAAAAUCUAUAUGUUCAUGUAGAUUUGAAAAGAUAAUGGGUUCAGAAUAUAUUUCCUUAUUGGAAAAAUUGAAACCUAAGUUAGGAUAUUUUAGUUUUUUAUGUUUAUAUUACUUCCAUGUGGAUGAACUGUGCAUGGUGGUGUAAACACUGCAAAAUUCCUAAGCAUGCUCCUCAAAACGUCGCCAAUGUAUUAUUUUGGGAAUUCUUUUCAAUUUGUCUCAUCCACUCAGUUGUAUAGACCAUUUCUUUUAAUGAAAUGAACAAAGAUAUAUCCAUACUUUCAUGGAUAAUGAAUGGGGUUAUUAGGGUAGUUAGAGCAUAACAGUAAUUAGUUAGGGAGUUAGUUAUAUUUGUUGGUUAUAAAUAGGAAGAGGAAGAUGAGCAAUAUUUGCUAUAUGAACUAGGGUUUGAGAGUGAUCUCAAGAUAGGCUUGAGUGUGAUCUCAAGAAGGGAGGAUCCAAGUGCCUCAAAUCACUUGGUUUAACAUGUACUUAUAUUAUUUUUUAUAUUUCAAUAUAUCUGGGUUGUAUCAAUAACAUAUGGAUAUUCAUUUUAAUAGAACUAUCAUUUAUGUAUCUAUUAAUUAACAAGUUUUAAUUUCUCUCUUUUAGGUAAUUCUAGUCUUGAGGCAGCAGUCAAUUGGGUAGUCGAACAUGAGAAUGAUCCGGAGAUAGACCAGAUGCCUUUGGUAAGUCCUGCUGUUCUUCAUUUUUAAUAUUUGUAUCUUUAAUUUGUUUCGGGGCACUACUUUCCUUUACACAUACAAAACAAUCUCUAUUCAUCAAGAUAUGAAUGGGGUCAUUGUAGAGGUACAAGUAGAUAAAUUUGAUUGGUUGUUUGUUUGCUUUAGGUGCAAGUUUGUGUGUUAUAAUGCGAUGCUGGACUGAUAUAAUGGAAAGUGAAACUAGUUAAAAGAGAAGCUUUGAAAAAUCAGAUCAUGGCAAAGAAAAAAAACUUAUUGAACCAUUCAAAACCUAUCAAGUGUAUUAAAAUACUGGCAGAAUCAACCAAAGCUGCUCAAAUUGAUGAAAACACCAAAUGAACUGAACAUAUCCGGGUUUAAAUCUUAUAAAACUCAACCAACUGACAAAAUGUAGCCAAGAUGAUAUAUGACAACCAACCUUGCCCAAUGAAAGUCGUUUCUAUCAAAAAAAAAAAAGAAAAAGAAAAAGGCAACCAACCUUGCUGUUUCAGUAAUCUUCAUUGGGAGGAUUUCAUAUCAUCUAUUGUACAUAUUAUACUGCCAAACUCAUAUUCUAUAUAUAUUUUAAAAUUUAUUGACAGAGGUAGCAAAUCAAUUGGAUAUAUGCCAUCUUUGUUUGUUUAGUUCUUGGAGGGGAUGACACCUUACUUUGUGUUUAUUUCUCAGGUUCCCAAGGACACAAAGGUUGAGGCUCCAAAGCCUUCGCUUACACCUGAGCAAUUGAAAGCAAAACAGCAGGAGCUAAGGUACAGGGUCACUCAUAGUGAUAUUAUGCUAUUAUUGAAAAGAGAAAAUACCUAAUUGUGGGGGGGCAUAAAGUAUCUCUCAGAAGCCAACGAAUUUUGAAAAGAAUUCCAAAUAGCAUUACAUAAGGAUUGCAACUUUUAUUAUUAUUACUACUCUGCUACUGCUACUAACAUAAAAAAGGAGUAUGAAUGAAUGAAGUGCUCGGUCUAGAGAAUCCAACUAGAAGUAGGGAAAAUAGUUCUAUCAAUUAAGUUAUAAUCGCUGACCAUAUACCUUUAACGCACUAGUCCUUUUCCAACCAAAAUUUUAUGGAGAUCACAUGAUACUGCACCCCACCUUGGUCACAUUUUUAAAUCCUUAGGCAACAAAGUUCUGAAUCUAAUUAAUAAAAGACUCCUGACUGCAUGGUUACCAAUUAGCAUUGUUUUGUUAGGUGACUUUUUCUUUCCCCUUUCCCCCUUUUCUUGUUUGUUUUUGUUUUGUUCUUUUGGGGAUUUGCUUCCUAUUUUUCUCUCAUAUGGUGAAUUAUCUUUUAGGGAACGGGCUAGGAAGAAAAAGGAGGAGGAAGAGAAGAUAACUGAAAGAGAAAGGGAAAAGGUAUUUAUGCUUCGUUCAUUUUUACAGCAACCUUUCAAGAAAUAGUUAAAUCAUUGAGGAACAUCAGGAUAGAGCUUACCAUCUGUUCACUAUAAAAUUUUUCUCGUCAUUUCUUUAGCUUUUUCAUGUUUAUGUCCUGGUUUUGUUUUAAUUAAGCUUCUUUUUCUUUCUUUUCUUUGGUGAUAGAUGAUUAGAUUCAUAGAAUUAGAAGUCCUUUUGCUAUGGAAAAGUUAAAAGUAGUAUUGUUGUGUUCCUUAGCUUUUUAUGACUGACAAAGUGCCUCAGAUAGAUAAUAUAGUAUGCAUUUGUUUUCUCAGGAGAGAAUUCGAAUUGGCAAGGAGCUCUUAGAAGCGAAAAGGAUCGAGGAAGAAAAUGAGAGAAAAAGGUUAUUUUUAGGUCCUUGUUAUGGUCUUUUUAUGGUUGAUAGAUAGAAUUGUUCAUGAAUGGAAUUGUUCUUAGGCUAUUGAAAGCAUUAUUACUAUGUUGUAUUGUAUUCAAAUUUACUCCUUUUUUAUGCAAAAUAUCUUUCCUAUUGUAGAAUAUUAGCCUUGAGAAAAGCUGAAAAAGAAGAAGAGAAAAGAGCCAGGGAAAAAAUUCGUCAAAAACUUGAAGAGGACAAGGUAUUGAUAGUUCCUAAUCCUGAAAAAUUGUGCGUAUUAAAUCAAUUAAGCAUCAUAUAGUAUAAGAUUUUGUUUUUAAAUAUUAUUCUUUUUUUGUGUGUUAUUCCUCAUGAAUCAAUGUGCGUUUCUUUUCUACUCACUUUCCAGAUCGAUAUAAAGAUAUUUUAAAUGCUUACAUGUUGGUUUGUGGAAAGUACUAUCUAGUGUUAUAUUCGUAAUUUACAUUUUUACUCUCAAUUGUUUAGUAACUUCAGCUAUGAAAAGAGGUUAUAAUCUGUACCUAUCGUUUCAUAGAAGUUGGUUCAUAAGUGUGGUUCUUUUGGGAUGGUUAGGCUGCAACUGGUAAGUUCAAUUAUUAACGGGAUUGAUCUGCUGGUCAAAGAGGAAAUGUUUUAUUUAUUUAUUUAUUUUGUAAGAAACCACACUUUAGGGAUGGAAGAAUAUACAAGGACACACAAAAAACCAAGUCUGAACAGAAAAAAGAGUUCGACACUAACUACAGAAAUGGAAUUCUCCAAUCCAAAAGAACAAGACCAAGCUCAUAAUUACAAAAACUGCCUAGUAACCGAUGUCAUUUAUCCUGAUCUCUCAAUCUCUCUGAAAAUUAUUUGAACCCAUGAAUUCAAUUCUCAUUUGUGAAGUCUGUCACAUCAAUGUCUGCUGUGUUUUUCAAAGUCAACCUGGCAUUGCUAGGAUGUGGAUAUUACUUAUCUUUCUUAAUUCCAAAUAUAAUGAGAUUUCUUGAGACUUGUGUAAGUGAUCAUGGAUUAUGAAAAAUUCUUAUUAUAAUAGUUUUUUUGUUAAAUUAUAAAUCCUCUGAUUUUCAAAAGUUACUAAAAAAUCUUUGAACUUUCAAUUUUGUAUCUAGGGGGUUCUUGACAUGAAAUUAACUGUUUAUAUUUGAAUGCAAUUAACAAUUUACUUAAAUAACCCCUUGUCCUUGUGCUUUUCUUCGUUUGCCUUGGUAUAAAACAAAAGAAAAAAAAUUCAUCUUCUUUCCUAUAAAAACAAUUAAAUGUUUUAUUAGACAUAAAAAUAAAAUUUGGCAUCUAGUAGGGUCCCUAACUUUCCAUUUUCAAUAUAAUAGACGUGCCAAUUUAAAAAAAUGUCAAGUAUAGACAUGGAAUUGGAAGUGUAAGGACACUUGUUAACAUUAAGUUGAAAGUUUUGUGUUCUAUUAAAUUCUCAAAAAUCUAUUACAUGUGGAAUUAAUAGUCGAAGACCUAUUAGAGAUGUUUUUAAUAUUUUUGAGACCUCAUGGAUGCAUACCUAAAAGCUUAGUAACCAAGCUUUUAAUACUUGUUUUGUUUUGUUUUUUUUGUUAGUACUGUUUCUUUUAAUAUAGAAAAUGACAUUUGGUUGAUGAGAUGAGAUAUAGAAACAACAAUUCAGAUAAGCUAACAGAUUUAAAAAGACCAUUUAGUGUUUCUAUAUCAUCUUAGCAACGAAAUGCCAUUUUGUGUAGGCGAUGAAUAGAAAAGUAGAAUCCUCAAUAGGUUAUGCUACCAAUGAAAUUCGGCUUAUCAUGAAACGAGUCUUGAUUUUGUUAAACUAUUAUAAUGCUUUUUUUUUUUUUUAUAAUCAUUUUUAUCAUUUGUGAUUGGUCCAAAAGCAAUAUUCUUGUGGUUGGUGAAAGGUUAAAAUUCUUUUUUUGUUUAGAAUGUCAUAUUGUUUUUUUUUAAGUUGUGAGCAAAAUGAUAAUAAAUUGUGAUUUUAUUAUAAAGAAGUUAUUUUUUCACAGGCAGAAAGAAGACGGAGGCUUGGAUUGCCACCAGAAGAUCCUUCAACUGCAAAACCUCCGGCACCUGUUGUUGAAGAGAAAAAGGUAUUGCCUGUGCUGUCGGAUUAGGUACUCUUUCAAUUUUGAAUUGCUUAGAGUUUCUUUGAUUAAAUGUUUGUUUGUAACUGCAGUUGUCUUUACCGGUUAGACCUGCUUCAAAGGCAGAGCAAAUGAGAGAAUGUUUGCGAUCAUUAAAGUCCAAUCACAAGGUAAAUAUGUUUAAGAAUUCAUAAAACACUCCUAUCGCAGAUCGGAACUCGGAAUGCUGCUAAUAUUACAAUGACUUUUACAUGUCUGUACACAAGCACUAGAACACACAUAUGGAAGUAGAAUUACUUGCACAUGGGAUAUAAUUGAAAAAGAAUUUGAAAGCGUGCAUCAAUGAGAAGCUGUGAACUAACUUAACCAAGUCAAAGACAGCAUCCUGACUCCUACUUCUGUCAUUGAAAGUUCUGACGAUUCCUUUCUAACUAGGGUUAGUAGGGCAUGGCUUUGUUUGCAUUUGUCCAAAAAAUAGUUGUCCUUUCCAUUCAUUACUUAUUUAUUUUCGUAAGGAACAAAACUUUUCACUGAUAAGAUGAAAAAAUACUAGUGCUCAAUGGAUACUAACUUCGCAAGGGUGUCAUUUGUCGACUAAGGAAACGAGAGAGGUUGCCUCUCUUCUUUCCUUACUGGAGAAUUGCAAUUUCAGAGUGGGGAGAAGGGACAUUGUAUUUGGAGUCCAAACCCUAGUGAAGCCUUUUCUUGUAAUUCUUUCUUUAGAUUGUUGUUGGAUUCCUCUCCUAGUAGAGAGUCCGUGUUUGUUGUGGUUUGGAGGAUCAAGAUAGAUAAGAAAAUCAUAUUCUUUAUUUGGCAAGUCUUGCUUGGGCCAUAUGGAACUUUGGAUAGGUUGGUUUGAAGGAGGACCUCGCUUGUGAGGCAUUUUUGUUGUAUUCUGUGUCAAAAGGGUGUGGAAGACUUAUAUCAUCUCCUUUGGGAUUGAUAAAAUGCAAGGUAUGCUCGGAGCUAUUUUCUGCCUGAGUUCAAUGUUAGUUUUGCUUGGCAAAGGAACGUUUGUGCAAAGAUUGAGGAAUUUUUCCACCAUUCUACAUUCUGAGAGGCCGUUUUUUGUGGUUUUUUGGGGUGUGGGCUGUGAUUUGGGAUCUUUGGGGGGAUGGAAUGAUAGAGUAUUUAGAGGUAGGGAUAAGGAACCUUGCGAGUUUUGGUCCUUAGUAAGGUUCCUUAUGUCUUUGUGGGAUUCGGUUUCGAAGAUUUUUUGUAACUAUUUAAUAGGCAACAUUUUACUUCGCUGGAGCCCCUUUAUUUGGUUGGGGUGUUUUGGUGGUAUUGAAAGUAACAACAAAAAAAUAAAACACAAGUUUACGUGGAAACCCUAUUGCAAGGAGAAAAACACAAUAUUGUUUUCUCUUAUUAUUUUCUAAUAAUUGCAAAGGAUACACUUUGGGAAUAAUAAAAAGACAACAAGAGCUUAUUGUAAAAAAGGAAAGAAUAUUAUUGCAAAUCUACCCUUGGUAAAGCUCACUAAUUCUAACACUCCCUCUCAAGUUGGGACGAAUAUCAAUAAGGAGAACAAAAAAAUAUUGAAAGUAACAACAAAAAAAUAAAACACAAGUUUACGUGGAAACCCUAUUGCAAGGAGAAAAACACAAUAUUGUUUUCUCUUAUUAUUUUCUAAUAAUUGCAAAGGAUACACUUUGGGAAUAAUAAAAAGACAACAAGAGCUUAUUGUAAAAAAGGAAAGAAUAUUAUUGCAAAUCUACCCUUGGUAAAGCUCACUAAUUCUAACACUCCCUCUCAAGUUGGGACGAAUAUCAAUAAGGCCCAACUUGCUAAAACAUGAAUCAAAGCUUUGUCUGAUAAGCCCCUUGGUGAGAAUAUUAGCAACCUGUUGACUCGAGGGAAUGUAAGGAAUGCAUAUGCUACCGUUGUCCAGUUUUCUUUAAUAAAGUGGCUAUCAAUCUCCAUAGGUUUAGUUCUAUCAUGUUGAACUGAUUGUUAAUGAUGCUAAUAGCCGCCUUAUUAUCAUAGGAUAAUUUCAUCGGCACCUCAUAGUCUCGAUGAAGGUUAGAUAAAACUUACUGUAGCCAAAUCUCCUCACAUACCCCCAAACUCAUAGGCCUGUACUCUGCUUCAGCACUGCUUCUAGCCACAACCCCUUGCUUCUUACUCCUCCAAAUUACGAGAUUGCCCCAUACAAAGGUACAAUAGCCAGAGGUGGAUUUCCUGUCAACAACAGAGCUUGUCCAGUUAGAAUCAGUAUAAGCCUCAAUACAUCUUUUGUUGGUAUUCCUAAACAUCAACCCUUUACCAGGAGUUUUCAAGUACCUCAGAAUUCUGUUAGUGUUACCAGCCUCCAUUUGUUCCUCAUGGGGGUUUGCAUGAACUAAUUGCACUCAUAGCAUAGGAUGUAUUCGGUCUAGUGUGAGACAAGUAGAUCAACUUUCCCACAAGGCCCUGAUAUUUUUUUUUUCCAACUAGAACUUUAUCAUCUGAAUUUCCCAGUUUAUAGUUGAACUGAAUGGGGGUAUCAGUAGGACGACAUCCUAACAUCCUUGUUUCAAUCGGCAAAUCAAGUGUAUACUUUGAGAUAUAGAGAUACCAUCUUUGAUCUAGCUACCUCCAUCCCAAGGAAAUACUUCAGAUUUUUCAAGUCUUAAAUUUCAAACUCAUCACCCUUUUUCUUUUUUAGUUGAAUGAUCUCAACGGUGUCAUCCCCAAAUAAUACAAUGUCAUCAACAUAAACAAUCAACACGGCGAUCUUCCCAACCUAGGAGACUUUUGUAAGCAAAGUGAUCAGAGAGCCCGUCACUGUACCUUUGGACUUGACAAAGGUAGUAAACCUAUUAAACAAUGCUCUCGAUAACGGUAUUAGCUCAUACAAGGAUUUAUGAAGUUUGCAAACCCUCGAUGAUCUAACUGGGCUUCAAAUGCUAAAGAGGGGACUGAUAUAGACUUCCUCUUCUAAGUCUCCAUUCAAGAACGCAUUCCUAAUAUUUAGCUGAUAUAGGGCCUCGUCUUUAUUCACAACAAAUAUCAAGACUACGAUGUUUAAUUUUGCAACUGGGAAAAAGUUUCAAAGUAAUCGAUUCCAAAGGUCUGAGUAAACCCUUUUGCAACUAACUUGGUCUUGUGUUUGUCAAGUCUGCCUUGUACUUAAGUGUAAACACCCUUUUGCAUCCCACGGUUUUAUGUCCCUUAGGGAGAGUACAAAUCUUCUAGGUCUUGUUCUUUUCAAGAGCUCUCAUCUCUUCCAUGACUGCAAUUUUCUAUUCAGGGCACUCUAAAGCAAUGUGGAUAUUUUUAGGUAUCAUGGUAGAGUCAAGGUUGGCUAUAAUGGCUAUGAACUGUGGUGAUAGGUUCUCAUAGGAAACAUAGUGACAUACGGAGUGUUUCGUGCAGGUUCUGAUACCUUUGAUCCGCGCAAUAGAGAUGUGAAGAGAAGGAUCAUAAUAAUCUAGAGUACUUGAAUGAUCCGGUUUAGCCUCAUUACUCGUCCUUUCUGCCAUGAUCUCAAUCUCAUCAACACUGUCCUUUUCAACACUACCCAUUUCAUCCAUUUCUUUAGGAACAUCUGUAGUAGACCUGUCAGUCUUUUAGCCAUUUUACUAUCAACAUAUGAACCAUUAGAAUUAUUCAUACCUUGAUCUCAUGAUGGUUAAGAAUCUUGGAUCGAUGCCGGCUGAGCAGUAGGGGACCCAAUUUCCUUUCUGAGAUUCCUCUUAUAGUAGGUCAUGCAGGGAACUUUUGUAACUAAGACCGUUUUAUGGGGUUUAGGAUCAGGUAAGGGUAAGGUGACAAAAGUAGAAUGGGUAGACUCUAAGGGACCUACUCAGUUAGACUCUUCACUCAUGAUCUCUCCCUGAAGUGAAAGAAAGGACGAUCCUCAAGGUGACAUUCAUGGAGACAAAGUCCUUAUGGGAAGUAGGAUGUAAAUAUUUGCAACCCGAGGGGUGAACUUGGUUUGGUUAGGGCCAUGGUUAUGAAUGUAUGCAGUACACCUGAACACCUGGAAGGGAAUAUCAGGGAUGAGACGGUAGAGGGAUAAGACUUCUUUGAGACAUUUGAGGGGGGUCUGGAGGUGGAGGACACGGGAGGACAUUCAAUUGAUAAGAUGAGCUGCGAUAAGAAUAAAUAGUGCCCCACAAAUAGGAGGGAAAGGACAGACAACAUGAGGGAACAUGCUUCCAGAAGGUGACGGUUUUUUCUUUUGGCAACCCCUUUUUGCUGGGGUGUGUAAGCACAAGAGCUUUGGUUAACAAUCCCUUUAGAGGACAAAAACUCAUAAAGGGAAUGGUUUUGAAACUCACGACCAUUGUCACCAGUGGCGGAUCCAAGAAAUUUAUUGACAGGGGUCUUCGAGUUGUAACUCAUAGAAAAAAUAAAAAUCUGGAGAAAAAAAAUACACAACUAAGACUUGAACUCUUGUUGGAAGGGGGGCUGACAAGCAUUGUUACCACUAAACUACCUACAAAUAUUAAAUAUUAAUUGAUUUUCUUUAUACAUAUUAUAUAAACACAAUAAGGUUGAGGGGGGGCUCGAGCCCCCCCGGGCCUAUACUAAACCCGCCGGUGAUUGUCACUUCGUAGAAUUGCAAUUUUUGUAUUGAAUUGCAUUUCUACGAUGUGAUAAAAGUUCCGAAAAGUGGAGGUGACCUUGAAUUUGUCGUCCAGAUAAGACGAGUAUGGUCAUCAAUGAAGGUCACAAACCACCGUUUUCCAGAGAUAGUAGUAAGUUAGUAACCUUGGACGGUCCCCACACAUCACUAUGAAUACGAAUGAAAUGUUGGGUUGGUUUGUAUGGUUGUGAGGGAAAGGAGGCCCGAUGUUUUUUUUGCCCAAAUACACACAUCACAAGAUAAGGUAGAGACAUCAACAUUAAAGGAGAGACGAGGAAAUAAAUGUUUCAUGUAUUGAAAAUUGGGGUGACCCAAAUGGAAAUGCCACAACAUACAAUCUUUUUCAGAAGUAGUAAAGUAUGAAGGUAAAAGACUCGUCCUAGAGGUUCUACUAGAUGAAGCAUCAUCGUUAAGGAGGUAGAGUCCCUUGCUGUGCCAGGUAGUGGCAAUCAUCCUCCCCGUGCUCAAGUUCUAAAAAAGGAAACAGAAUCAGGUAAGAAAGUUGCUUUACAGUUCAAUUCACGGGUAAUCUUGUUUAUAGACAACAAAUUAUAAGAUAUCUUAGGCAGCACAUUAUAAGGAUAGCUCUUUAAAGGGAAAAUUUUGUCCCUUCCCAGAAAUGGGGGCCAAAGAGUCAUCGACAGUUCUAUUUCUUUUAUUAUCGUCGACACAAGGAAAAUUUGACACAAAAUACUCAGAGGAACUUGUCAGAUGAAGUCUAGAAUCCAGGGGUUCUUCCCAUUAACACUAAUAAGACUGAGGGACAGAGGCAUAUCUGACUAGGCAAUAGCUCCUAGUCUGGUUAGACUAGAGGAUCGUUCUGGUUCACAUUUGGUUGAGAAGGUCUAGCAAACUCACUUACAUAGGCUCACCCUGGAUUCUGUUUGUCGUUGGGAGGCUGUUUCUUAUCUUCUGAGGGACGACCAUGUAAUUUCCAAUAUUGUUCUUUGGUGUGCCACUGUUUCUUGCAAUGCUUAUAGAUAGAGACCAGUUUGCCCUUGUGCUUCUCGUUGUCAUGAGUAGAGGAUCUUGUGCUAGAGGCAGCAAAAUCAAUUGCAAGGGUGGUCAAAAUAUUCAUGGCGCUUGUGCGGUCCUCCUGAAGGCGAACUUUAGAACAAACCUCCAUCGAGAAAGAAAUAGGUCUCUGGCCUAGUAUGCACCUAUAGACUACAUCAAACUUUUAAUUGAGGCCAACAAGGAAGUCGUAUAUUAUGUCAGUCUCUUUAAUUCUAGAAUAUUGUAUGGCCAUCAUUGGGACAGUCCCAAGCCAUUUAUCUGCAAAGAUCCAUUUUUUGCCAAAUCAGAGAAAGUUUGCUAAAAUAGGAUGUUAUAUCCAUUGCUCCCUGCUUGCGUUCAUGGACUUGUUUUCGUAGUGUGUAGAGCCAAAAGGCAUUUUGACGCUUCGAACACAAUUUCUGAGCUGUAUCCCUUAUGUUCUUAGCAGUCUUAGCAUACAGCAAGUGCUUACCAAUCGGUGGCUCCAUUUUGUUCAUUAAUGUGGCUCGAAUAAGAGAAUCCUCUCCUUUCCAAUAGCGUUCUUGGGGAUCUCCCGGUGGAGGACAGGGUAUCUCCCUUGUUAGAAAACCAAAUUUGUGGCGCCCCUCGAUGAUCAUUUUAACAGAUUGCGACCCGAGAAAUAGUUCUGGACAAUUUAUUUUCUCCUCUGAACUUUUUUUUUGUAGACUGUGCCACUGUAUUGGACACAUAAGAAGAGGACAAAUUAGGGAACGAAGUUAUCGGAUUCUCAUAAUACAUCGGUAAGGUUGUAGGAAUGACUAGAAGUGUUUGUAGGAGCCCCUAACGUUGCCUCGAAUGCUACAAUCUACUUUUAAAGCAUGUCCAAUUGUUGUUGGGCGGUACUCUAAGAAAAGCCUUGCAAAUGAGGUUUGGACUGAGCCGAGGAUUCAUCAACCUCAAAUGUUUACUGGGCAUGAGGAUUAUCAACACCGAGGUGACAAUUGGGUAGAGUUUUUGGAGAGGUAUAGUAUCCGGUUGGAUAGUGGUGUAGGAUUUGGUUUGCUACAGGGUUGGAUAGACCUAGGGAUUGCGGCAAAGUGGAGCAUAGACAAAAUAAAUUGCACCGGAAUCAGCAUUGUUGAUUACUGACUGAAGGGACGGUAAAAUAAUACAUAUUUGGGGUUUCUUGGUUCCUUCUGGCGUCUGCAUUGGGACCUAACUUAGAACAUGUUACUUGUACAUUCUCUGCAAUACCAAAUAUCUUUACUGUAUGAAUUUGUUGUUUUGGUCAUAGUUGUAUAUUAUUGCUUUGAAGUUCAAAACUAUCAAUUAGUUUUAAUAGACAGGAGAACAAGACCGGUUGUUUUAUUUUAGUUUCUUUAAUGUUAGUUACUGAACGAUAAUUUUAAUUCAUCUUUCUUCCUUAAAGUAAAUUCAAUUUGAUUAGAGUGAUCCCUUGUCUUUAACUUCUACGUUUGUUCUAGGAGGAUGAUGCUAAAGUGAAGAGAGCGUUUCAAACCCUUCUAACUUAUGUGGGAAACGUGGUGAAAAGUCCUGAUGAAGAGAAGUUCAGAAAAAUUAGACUUAGCAACCAAACUUUCCAGGUAUCUGCCUCAUUUGGCUAAUUAUGGUACUGUUUUACCCGUUUCCAAUGUCAAUUGAAAUGCUUCACUUAUUUUUUUUCUGAAAAUUUUCUGGUAAAUUUAUGCUCUAUUUGCAAGAACUAUCAAACUUUAUCAUAUUGCACAAGUAAGCAAUCUUUAUGUUUUGGUAUCAUUCUUGGUCAAAACAAUUCUUAAUGUGCAUUUGUGAUUCCAAGACAAUUCUUUGUAUGCAUUUGUGAUUCCAAAGCAAUUCAUUAUAUGCAAUUGUGAUUCCAAAACAAUUUAUUAUAUGCAUUUGUGAUUUGCAUGUACAAGGGUAAAAAACACAGAACACACAUUUGCACAAACUAAUGAUUCGUUUUCAGUCAGAGUCUAAUUGACCAUAUAACAAGCAGUGAAGCAUGCACAAUAUUUCUCACAAGGAAUUUAUGAUCCAGAGUGUUAACAUCAUAAUGGUGAACUUGAUUUUAUGACCUGAUUAGUUAAUUUCUCUUUCUCGUAAAAUUGAAAAUUGUCUGAAAAUGGUUAAAUUACAAAUUUGGUAGGUAGACUUUGAUGGUGAUCUAUACGUCUUUGAAAUAUUGAUGGUUAUUCUGUAUCUGUCAGUAUUGUGGACAAUUGUUGGCUGAUGAGUGAUGUGAUAUAUGAGGGAAUAAAUUGAACAACUAGAAAGAAAUAGAGUGACAUGCUUUAUAUAAAAGGAUCAUAAAUCUUGACUUUGAUAACAGUGCAUUUUGUGCUAAUUUGUCUAUCAUACUGUACUAAAUUUGCAACAAAACAUUUUCACAUCAUCAAUGUUGACAUAUCUUUUUUAAUGUUUAGGAACUAAAUUGACACGACUAUGUUGAUAAAAUUAUAUACUUGCAUUAUAAACGAACAACUAAACCCGAAUUACCCGUUGGAUGCAACAGGAUAGAGUGGGUGCACUGAGAGGAGGAAUUGAGUUUCUAGAGCUGUGCGGGUUCGAAAAAAUCGAAGGCGGUGAGUUCUUGUUUCUGCCCAGAAACAAGGUUGACAGGGCAGUGCUCAAUUCAGCUGGUUCUGAGCUCGACUCUGCUAUUAAAAAUCCUUUCUUUGGCGUCCUCUAAUUUCACGUUUCAGAGAAAAAAAAUAUUUUAGUACUCUUUUUUUGGGUGUGGAAUAUGGUCCAGAUUGAUGUUGAUAUUUUGUUCUUUGGUGACACUAUACAUGAAGAAAGAUUUAGUGCAUUAACUCCUUAAAUGGUGGUCUCAUAUUGUUUGUUUCGGUGAUGUCUCCUCUGCUAUUAGUGUCUUAUUUUUUUUUUCACAUAUUCUUUUGAUCUCAUCCCUGCAUUCUUUAAAAAAGAAAUUUGUCUAAUAAAUCCAUAAAUCCAUAAAUCAAACAAAUGACUUUGGAGGGGAAUUAUAUUCAUAGGUUCACUUGUUUCCUAAAAGUUAUUUGAAGUUGAUUUGAAGUUGAUUGUGUGAUUAUAUGUUUGUAUGUUGAUACAACCAUAAAUAUCAGUAAUGCUAUAAAGUUAUUUAGGUCCUCAUAUUUUGAAGUGAAAGAUUUAUGUGAGACUAAUGGGAUGUACUUAGUAUUAUUGAGAAUGUUUUGAUUUAUGUCAAUCACACAUUGAAUACUAUUAAAGAGAUUUGAUAGUUUAAUGAUACACUUGUAAGGACACCUUAUGAUGCUAGUUUGAGCCUCAAAGAAAAUAAAUGAGAUAGUGUUUCUUAAUCUGAAUAUGAAAGGUUAUAGAAAAUAUUAUGUUUUUUUAUAACCUAUGCAAGACUGGUUAUAUAUUGCACAUGUUGUGAGAAGAUUGAGGGUUUAUUUUAUUGUUCUUUGUCAUUUAUUAAGAUAUCUUAAGGGUAGAAUAGAUUAUGGUUUACAUUUUAAUAAUUUUCUACCAUACUAGAGAGGUAGUGUGUGCAAUUGUAUAGUUUGAAACCGUGUUUAAUAAAUAACGUUUAUAUGUUGCAUAUGUGGUGUGAUGUCAGCUAAUGCCAUUCACCUUCUGAACAACUUGAACUGAUCCUUACUUGGAAACAUGGAACAUUCAACGGUGGAAGUCUUUUAACUUUGAAAAUCUUUAAAAUUGCAGUGUAAUCCAUUUAAAAUUCCUUUUAUGAAUACCAAGUAAAAAUAUAGCAAACAUGAAAGUAUAAACUUUUAUAAAUACCAAGUAAAAAUAUAACAAACAUGAAAGUAUAAACUCUUCAAUUUGGAGAGUCAUCCUAUAUAGUAGGUAAACAACAUUCUUUACUGGGAUGAUCUUUAAAUUUCUGUGUGGCGUCCCUACUCUUUUACAAUAUUUUAUGGAUUGAAUUAAUUAUGUACUCUCGAAGAAAAGGUUCAAGUCAUAAUGUAGUUCGAUUUUUUUUUUUUUUUUGUUUAUUUGGUUAUUAGACUAAGCUUAAAGUUUCCUUCAAACUUCCAACGUACCUUUAAAAAAGGAUCAAUUCAUAACAUAGCUCAACUAAGUAGAUUUAAGCAGCCUACGUACUUUGUACAAUAUAGGGGUCAAAUCAUAACAUAUUACAAUUAUAUGUUUCUUUUUUGUCGUUCACCUUUUAAGUUCAUGUGGGGCUAGGAGAGCACUAUGCAGUUUGGCCUCUUACAAUAAGGAGCUUUGCGUAUUUAGCAGCUCAUAUUUUCAUGAAGGAUUUGUUGAGUUUCUUCACUUAUAGGAUUGGUCAAUAUAAUAAGUCUUGACUUCAAAAUAAUCUUUUGUAUAUAUGUCAACAACUUUCUCUUCAUGCAUGAAGAGACACGACUGUAAAUUGGCUCAUCGUUGUUUUCUUCAUGAAAUAGUUUUACCUUCAAAAUUUUCAUCUUUCUUUCAUGCUGAUCGAUUGUCAUCUUUAGACAAUCAAAAGCAGAUGUUGAAGGUCAAUCUUUCUUUAACGUGAAUAUAUUUCAUCUUUUAAAAACUGAAGUUCAAGUAAACCUAGAAGUUGAAGCUUGGUUUUCCUCAUCUAUUGUGACCAUACUCAAUCUUUGAAAAAUUGAAGAUCAAGUGUUGAAGGCUUGAUAUGAUCGAAGAUAGAAGUUAUGUGCUCGAUUUCCUUUGAAUCGUCUCUUUCUUUAGCAUUUAUAUGGUUACUGUCAAAUUCUGCUAUGCUGACAGCAUGACUUCUAAUACUUAUCAUCGCAAAAGUUUCUUGGGAGAAAUUAUGCUAAAGUUACUAGUCGUUAAGGUUAGGGAAAUUCUUUAUCUUCUUCCUUAAGAAGUUUAGGCUUCCAUCCCCUUUAGUUUCUUUUCUUUAUUUGGCUCUUGUGCUUAUUCUUCUUUAAUAUGGUUGGAGAAACGACUUCUUUUUGGUGGAAUUUGACUUUUCUUUCUUUGGAUGUGUCACGAAGAUCAAUCCUUUGCCAUCAUCUUCAAUAGGCUCAUUUUUGUUUUGGGAGUCUGUAAUCUCGAGUUUUUGUUGGAAUCGAACAACUAUAGGUUCAAAGGUCUCAAACUGAAUCAAGGUUUCUUUUUUAUUGUAAGGCACAACAAAUGGUGGAACACUUGAAUUUAUCGCCACUGCACAUGAUUCGUCUGCCGUAUCUCAUUAAUAUCAAACUUAAUCUUCUUUUCACGAGCUAACUUUAGAAUCAACUCUUUCAGCAUGAAACACUUUUCAAUUGGAUGAUUAACUACUUGAUGAUACUUGGAGUAGUUAGAAUCAUUUACUUUUCCUUCUUGUUUCGAUCGUUUACAUUUUGACAAUUGAAUAAGUUGCUUUUCUAGCAGCUGCUUUAACAUGUCUACACCAUUAGAGUUAGGAAAUGGAUAAACUUUUUCCUAUCUUUCUUUCAAAGUUAGACAACGUCUCUCACCUCUAUUAUCUUCCUUUUCGAAUUUUUUCUUUUUCUUUAGGGAAAGAUUUUAAUGGAGUCACAUGAACAACUAUAGAUUAUUUUUUGACACUAUUCGUGAUUUUUUCAGUGUCGUCAUUGACUUCAUUCUUGUCAUUCCUUAUUUUUGAAACAAAAAAAUCUUUUGCUCUCCGGUUGGCAAUGCUUAGCUCUAGAUCAUGGACACAAGUUUUCAGUUCUUCAAAUGUACAAGGUUUUAUGCCUUGCAAAAUAUAUAGAGGCUCCUAGUGCAUGCCUUGGGUGCACAUCUCCACUACAGAUAGUUCAUUUAGUUUAUCUUUACAAUGUAAACUUAGAGCUCUCCAUUGAUUUACGUAAUGGCUCUCUCUUCCAGUGUUUGGUAUUUGUUAGCUUUUUCAUUCUAACGAUACGCCUAGUGUUAUAGAAGCAGUUUAGAAACUCUCUUUCUAAUGGUUUCCAAUUGUCAAUCACUUCGGGCUCUAGAUCGGUGCACCACUUGAAGACAUUUCCCUUUAAACGUAACUUUGAACAAACUGCCUGACUGGUUGGUCUCCUCUUGAUCCUGCGUUCUUGCUUGUUUCAAGAAAGUGGACAAUAUGUUGCUUCAGGAUGCCUUUUCUAUUGAACUGUUAGAACUUUGGAGGUUGGUAUCUAAAAGGCAUUCUCAGAUCAUCGAUUCUCUUGGUAUAUGGCUUGGAACAUAAAAGAAGCUUGUGGUGUUCCUCCAUACUGAGCCCUUAUGGAGCUUGUGAUCAUAUCCUGCCGUUGUUGGACUAACAGGUAGAUGACAAAGAUGGACUGUUGCGCUUGAUUUUUCUGUUGCACAACUUUUUCUUUGUCAUUAGCUUUGACAGUGGGAGUUUGGCUUGACUUAGAAGUUUCACAAGCCUUCAUUUGAUCUCUCAAGCCAACGAUUUCAUGAUCUCGCUCUUUGACAAGUUUCAUUAGGAGAUUUCUUUUCCUCUCUAUCUCUGCCAUGGCUGCCUCAGUUGUUACAUCUACCAUCAUGAUAGACACUACUUUAAGGUGUGAUUCUUUCUAUGAUAGAUCGAAAACAAGAGUAUAGUUGUCGAACAAAGGAUUCUCUCUGAUUACGAUUACGAUUCCACUUUUAGAAAAUUUCAUCAAUUGUUCUUGGAUGAUCCUCUUUGAGUGACUUCAAGUGUCAGGUCCCAUGCAAAAGUUGUUUGCAACAAUUUUUCUAGAUGCAAUUUUCUUUAGUGUUAUUGGUUGGUUUGUUGAUUUGGAUUUUGAUAGAAAGAUAUCCCACGGAACGUGUCAAUUUAUUUAAAAAAGAGUUUUAGAGAAACUUGUUUUGUGGAGUUGAUGUUGUAUUUGUGUUGAUUUGAUUAUAUGUGGUUCGAUCUCUAGUACUUGAUUUUAUAACUCUCUUUUCAGUUGAAUGCGUACACUUGAUUUGAAGAAGUGGAACACGUGAUGUUCUUGAAGUUGGAGUUUUGGAAGAAAGCUUGUAUCCACAGGAACUUUAACUUUCGAUUAUAGUCAACUUCAGAAGUUUAGGAGUUUUCUGGUUGUUGGGAGAACUCUCUCUAGACCUUAAUAAAAUUUUCUGAACCCCAUAAAUGAAGAGAAUUCAUCUAUUUACAGAGUUCUUAGGUGAGCAUUGUGGCCUAGAGCUUGGUUGAUCCAUGGAUCUGGCUCUCUAAGCCUAACCAUAUUAACUUGGGUCUUAUUUAGCAUUUGACUUAAAUUAAGCCUAUUUUUUUUGGGUUAAUUGAACUUUAGGCCAAAUAAUAACAUUUAAUUGGAUCAAAAUAGUUAAUUUCAUCCAACCAUUGUCAUGAAAACACUUUGCGUCAUUGUGAUGAAAAUAACCAGUUUGUGGUUUCAAUUUCAAUUUAGGACACAUAUCAUCUUUUAAUUUGUCCAAACUUUAACUAUUUAAGAAAUGUCACGAUAAUUUGUGAUUAGUCCAAAAUUUCUCAUUCAAGAGAUAUUCUUUUAUUAAUCAAAUAACAAAUGAACUUAACAAUAAAUUAGUUUACAUUAAAUGAAAUUGAUCCCUAACAUUUAGUUAGUAAUUAUUUGAUGGAAAUUUUUUAAAAAUAGUAGAAUUUAUAAAAUAUUUACAACCUAUAGCAAAUUCUAUCAUUGAUAGUCAUUGAUAUGUCAGAAGACUAUCGAUGAUAGAAUCCAAAAUUUUGCUAUAGCUUAUAAAUAUUUAAAUUUAUUUUUCUAUUUUUAAAAAUGCCCCAUAUUUAAUUUUAUGUUUUUCAAAUUAUUGAAUUGAAUACAAAUAUUUAAUUGAUAUUAAUUAUCAUGCACAUUCAAACAUAUACAUUAAUGGACUGACUAGGGAUAUAACAUUUUAAUAUAAAUUAAUUAAGGAUAUAGCAAAAGUUUAAAGUUUAAACAAAUUGCAAAUAUGGUAAAUCUUAAGUACAACACAAGGUUAAAGACCAAAAUGCCCCUACGCUAGGGAGAAGAUCCAUUUCACGCUUCCACCACUUCGUAUUCCGAUUUCAAAAUAGUCUUUCUACUAUUUCUUCAUCUUCCACUCCUGAUGCCUUCACGCUUCCGUCACUUCACAUUUUCCUUCCAUCUUCCACUUUCAUUUGGUCUUCGAUACCUUCCUUUCAUCGUCCACGUUGUUUUUGAUUUCUCCACUUCAUCAUCUAUAAACUUCGUUGCUUUUCGUUUGAAAUCCUAACUUAUUUUCGUUCUUCCUGUAUUUUUAUUUUCCAUUUGGUUGUAAUAUUUUUGAAAUAGAUUUUCUUUCGUUUUGUAUUUCUUUGAAAUCGAUUUCUUCAUUUCCUGUUUGGUUAUGCUCUGUUUGUUUUUCAAUUUGUGUGUUGUUACUCAAGUUAAAAUCUAUAAGUGAUAUGUUUAUAUCAUUGAUAGACUUGAGGGAUGUUUAGUUUGUUUGCAUUGAGAUGUUAGUAGAUGAUUUAGUUUAAUGUACAUUUUUAUGCGAUGUUGCUUAGGGUCUACCAAUGAUAUGUUUCUAUCACUGAUAGACUGGAGGAUGUUUAGUUUGUUUACAUUGGAAUGUUAGUGGAUACUUUAGUUUAAUGUACAUAUUUUAUAUGUUUUUGUUUAAUGUCUAUUAGUGAUAUGUUUCUACAACUUGAAGAAUGUUUAACUUCUUUGUGUUGAAUUUUUAGUAGAUGUUUUAGUUUAAUGUAUAGUUUUUAUGUGAUGUUACUUAGUGUCUAUCAGUGAUAUAUUUCAUCUUGAUAGACUUGGAUGACGCUUAACUUGUAAUUUGCGUUUGGAUGUUAGUAGAGGCUUUAGUUUAAUGUGCAUUUUUUAUGUGAUGUUGCUUAGAGUCUAUCAAUUCUAUGUUUCUAUCAUUGAUAGAUUUGGGAUUUGGAAGAUGUUUAACUUAUUUGCAUUGGGAUGUUAGUAGAUGUUUUAGUUUAAUGUGCAUUUUGUAUAUGUUAUUGCUUAUGCUCUAUCAGUGAUAUGUUACUAUUACCGAUAGACCUAGAUGAUGUUUAGUUUGUUUGCACUAGCGUGUGUUAGUAAAUAUUUUAGUUUGUGUAUUUAUUUAUGUAAUGUUUCUUAAAGGCUAUCAAUGUGUUCUAUCAUUGAUAGACUUGGAAUAUUCUGUUUAGCUUGUUUACAAUGGGAUGUUAGAAGAUACUUUAGUUUAAUGCACAUUUUUUAUGUGAUGUUGCUUAAAGGUUGUCUUUCAGUGAUUUGUUUUUAUCACUUAUAGACUUAGAGGAUGUUUAGGUUGUUUGCAAUGAGAUGUUAGUAGAUACUUUAGUUUAAUAUGCAUUUUUUUUUAUUUAUUGUUGCUUAGGGUCUAUCAGUGAUAUAUUUCAAUCGUUGAUAGACUUGAAAGAUGCUUAGCUUGUUUGACUUGGAAAGUUAGUAGAAACUUUAGUUUAAUGUGCAUUUUGUGUGGGAUGUUGCCUAUGGUCUAUCAGUGAUAUGUUUGUAUCACUGAUAGACUUGAGGGAUGUUAAGUUUGUUUGCAUUGGGAUGUUAGUAGAUAAUUUAGUUCUAUCAGUGAUAUGUUUUCAUGAACUUGAAAGAUGUUUAAUAUGUUUGUGUUGGGAUUGUUAUUAGAUGUUUUAGUUCAAUGUCAAUUUUUUUAUUUGUUGUUGCUUAUUAAGGGUUUAUCGGUGAUAGAUUUCAAUCAUUAAUAGACUUGGAAAAUGUUUAGCUUGUUUGACUUGAAAAGUUGGUCGAAGCUCUAGUUUAAUGUGCAUUUUUUUGUGUAGGAUGUUGCUUAUGGUCUAUCAGUGAUAUGUUUCUAUCACUGAUUGAUAGGUUUGGAGUAUGUGGAACUUGUUUAUGUUGGGAUGUUUAACUUACUUCUUCGACAUGCUAAUCUGUUUUAAGUUUGUGUGUUGUUGCUUAGGGUUAUGGUCUAUUAGUAAUACGUUUGUAAUAGUGAUAGACUUGAGGGAUGUUUAGUUUGUUUGCAUUGGGAUGUUAGUAGAUAAUUUAGUUUAAUGACAUUUUUAUGUAUUGUUGUUUAGGUUCUAUCAGUUUUAGUUUAUGUGCAUUUAUUUAUGUGAUGUUUCUUAAAGACUACCAAUGAUAUGUUCUAUCAUUGAUAGACUUGGAAUAUGUUUAGCUUGUUUGCAAUGAGAUGUUAGGAGAUACUUUAGUUUAAUGUGCAUUUUUUAUGCGAUGUUGCUUAAAGGUCUUUCAAUGAUUGGUUUCUAUCACUUAUAGACUUAAAGGAUGUUUAGCUUGCUUGCAAUGGGAUGUUAGUAGAUAUAUACUUUAGUUUAUUGUGUAUUUUUUAUGUGUUGUUACUUACGGCCUUUUAGUGAUAGGUUUCUAUGACUAAUAGACUUGAAAGAUGUUUAGAUUGUUUCCAUUAUAAUAUAUAUUUAUAAACCCUAAUUCAAUAUUAUCAUUUCAGGUCAUUCAAGAAAAGAAAAGAAAAAUGAAAACUAUGGAAAUAGCGAAAAAUGUUAAAAAUGUUAGGACACCAAAGAGACAACUUAACUGAUCAAAUAAAAUGUUGGAGAAUGCAAAAGACUAAAACAUUGCUGGAGAAUGAUUCAUCUGUUCCUAGUUUUGAUUUGCAACUCUCUCAUUGAGUAAAUGAAUAUUGUACUAUAUUAAUUUUGUGGAUAUUUCAUGAUAGAAUAGAUUAAUGAUAAACUUCACAUUUUAUUUGAUUUUAUUCUUUUGAUAUAGAAAAGUGUUGAAUCAUAGGUUGAAUAUCGCAAAUUUAUAUUCUUAAAUAGUCUGAUUCUUCAAUGAAUGUUAAAGUUUAUUAAUAAUAAACCAUAAGAGUAAAAUUUGUUGUUGUCACAUUACCUCUUCAUAUUUAGUUAUGCGCCUUAUUGAGAAAUUAGUAUUAUUGAUGUUGAAUCCUUGCAAUUUGGUAUUAGUGUGAGCAUUUUAUUGAGAAAAAGUUUUGUUAAUAUAAUGAAUCCUAUGAAUCAAAUUAAAUCGAUACAAUCAACUCCCAGUUUGCAAAGUAGCCCGUUUCCCGCUCUUAUAAAACGGCAGAAACAGGCAUCGAAAAUUUUUGGAGUGCUCAAAAUCCCAUAUCAAUAGAUUCAUUACUUCAAUGAUUUUUAAUCUAUGCUUCUUCGAAGGAAUGGAUCUGGAAGUAACAUAAUGAAAGAUCUCCACGUUCUUUUCAACCCAAGGAUCGCUUUUUUCAGUUCAAUGUUUUCUUCAUCAUCACCUCCGAUUUCAUUUCUGGAAACCCAUUUCAUCGAUCUAAUUCAUGCGUCCAAUUCAACCCACAAGCUCCGUCAGAUCCAUGGUCAACUCUAUCGCUGCAACGUCUUCUCCAGCAGCCGGGUUGUGACCCAGUUCAUCUCUUCCUGUUCUUCGCUAAAUUCUGUCGACUAUGCCAUUUCCAUCUUUCAGCGGUUCGAGUUGAAGAACAGUUACCUUUUUAAUGCGUUAAUUCGAGGACUCGCUGAAAAUUCCAGGUUCGAGAGCUCAAUUUCUUUCUUUGUUUUGAUGCUAAAGUGGAAAAUUAGCCCUGAUAGGCUUACUUUUCCGUUUGUGCUGAAAUCAGCGGCGGCUCUUUCCAAUGGUGGCGUUGGGAGGGCUUUGCAUUGUGGGAUUUUGAAGUUUGGUCUUGAGUUUGAUUCUUUUGUGAGGGUUUCGUUGGUUGAUAUGUACGUGAAAGUUGAGGAGUUGGGUUCUGCCUUGAAGGUGUUUGAUGAAAGUCCUGAGAGUGUUAAGAAUGGAAGUGUGUUGAUUUGGAAUGUUCUUAUUCAUGGGUAUUGUAGAAUGGGGGAUUUAGUAAAAGCUACGGAGCUAUUCGACUCAAUGCCGAAGAAGGACACGGGAUCUUGGAACAGUUUGAUCAAUGGUUUCAUGAAAAUGGGGGACAUGGGUCGAGCAAAGGAACUGUUUGUUAAAAUGCCUGAAAAAAAUGUUGUUUCUUGGACCACAAUGGUGAAUGGAUUUUCACAGAAUGGAGACCCUGAAAAGGCACUGGAAACUUUCUUUUGUAUGCUUGAAGAAGGCGCUCGGCCAAAUGAUUACACAAUUGUCUCCGCACUUUCAGCUUGUGCAAAAAUUGGUGCAUUAGAUGCUGGUUUAAGGAUUCAUAAUUAUCUUUCAGGCAAUGGUUUCAAACUAAAUCUAGUUAUUGGAACUGCUCUGGUGGAUAUGUAUGCAAAAUGUGGAAAUAUUGAGCAUGCAGAAAAAGUGUUUCAUGAAACAAAAGAAAAGGGCCUUCUUAUUUGGAGUGUUAUGAUCUGGGGCUGGGCAAUCCAUGGACAUUUUAGGAAAGCCUUACAAUACUUUGAAUGGAUGAAGUUUACAGGUUUGAUUUCAUAUUGUGAUUGUUAUCUCUGAGUUUAAUAUUUUGCUGUUUAUAAACUCAAAUCUCAGCAUGUUUGCAGGAACAAAGCCAGAUAGUGUGGUCUUUCUUGCUGUUCUUAACGCAUGCUCCCAUUCUGGACAAGUAAACGAAGGACUUAAGUUUUUCGACAAUAUGAGGCGCGGCUACUUGAUUGAACCUUCUAUGAAGCAUUACACAUUGGUUGUAGACAUGCUAGGCAGGGCUGGCAGACUAGAUGAAGCUCUAAAGUUCAUACGUGCGAUGCCCAUAACUCCUGAUUUUGUGGUGUGGGGUGCUCUAUUUUGUGCAUGUAGGACUCAUAAGAAUGUUGAAAUGGCAGAACUAGCAUCCAAAAAGCUUCUUCAGCUUGAACCCAAGCAUCCGGGGAGUUAUGUAUUUUUGUCAAACGCAUAUGCUUCAGUAGGGAGAUGGGACGAUGCGGAGAGAGUGAGAGUUUCUAUGCGAGAUCACGGUGCACACAAAGAUCCAGGAUGGAGCUUUAUUGAAGUGGAUCAUAAAUUACAUAGAUUUGUGGCUGGAGAUAACACUCAUAACCGUGCUGUAGAGAUAUACUCAAAAUUAGAUGAGAUAAGUGCAAGUGCAAGGGAAAAGGGAUACACGAAAGAAAUUGAGUGCGUACUUCAUAAUAUUGAAGAGGAAGAAAAGGAAGAAGCAUUGGGAUAUCACAGUGAGAAGUUGGCACUUGCUUUUGGGAUCGUCAGUACGAGGCCCGGAACGACUGUUAGGAUAGUGAAAAACCUUAGAGUUUGUGUGGAUUGCCAUUCUUUCAUGAAAUAUGCCAGUAAAAUGAGUAAGAGGGAGAUCAUUUUGAGGGAUAUGAAGCGAUUCCAUCAUUUCAAUGAUGGUGUUUGUUCAUGUGGAGAUUAUUGGUAAAGAAUUGUUGAUCAGAGAGUGGAACUGCGGAUGCUUUCAAGAACACAUACAAACUAACAAUUGCAGCCUCUUUGCAUUAACGGUUUGAUGCCCUAAAAACAAUAAUGGCUUCUGAGAAGUAAAAGAUCCCUUAAUCAUCCAAGUUCUUGACUGCCGAUAUGAUUCUAUGCACAUCUCAUUUUGAUCUCACUGCAGGUGAACAACAUUGUCCGCACUUUCACAAAAAAAAAAAAAAGAAGUGUUGAUUUAUGUAUGUAUGUAUGUAUGUAUGUAUGUAUAUAUAUAUAUAUAUAUGUAUGUAUGUAUGUAUGUAUAUAUAUAUGUAUAUAUAUGUAUGUAUGUAUGUAUCAAUAUGUAUGUAUGUAUGUAUAUAUAUGUAUGUAUGUAUGUAUGUAUAUGUAGAUAUAUAUGUAUGUAUGUAUGUAUAUAUAUAUGUAUGUAUGUAUAUAUAUGUAUGUAUGUAUGUAUGUAUAUGUAGAUAUAUAUGUAUGUAUGUAUGUAUAUAUAUAUGUAUGUAUGUAUAUAUAUGUAUGUAUGUAUGUAUCUAUAUGUAUGUAUGUAUAUAUAUAUGUAUGUAUGUAUGUAUAUAGAUAUAUAUGUAUGUAUGUAUAUAUAUGUAGAUAUAUAUGUAUGUAUGUAUGUAUAUAUGUAUGUAUGUAUGUAUAUAGAUAUAUGUAUGUAUAUAUAUAUAUGUAUGUAUAUGUAUGUGAAUAUAUAUAUAUAUAUAUAUAUGUAUGUAUAUGUAUGUGAAUAUAAAUUAAUUUCUUUUCCCAACUACUGCUCUCUCCCUCCCUUUCUUCACAUCAGAUUCACCGCCUCUCUCUCUUCCUUUCGACACUCUCCCUUUCACCUCACGGCUAACUCACCUUUAAACAUACAAGUUUGUUCGAUUUCAAAAACCAAACAUACAUAGUAAUAAAAAUUAUUUAUUAAAUAUCGCAAAAAUUAUCUAAUUUUUUAUAAUUUAUUUAAGUUUUAUUUUUGUUAUAUUUUGUUUAUAGAUUCGGAAUAUUUUUCCUAUUUUCUUAUAAGUUCAUAAAUUCUUAAUUAUCACUCCCCACCAUUAAAGUUCUAACCUAAUAUUCCACACAAAAGGACAAACGCCAAGAAAGAAAGGGAAUGUAUCCAAUUCAUGAAUUUAUCUCCAUACAUGCAUCUGUAACUCAUGCACUAGUCUAUACAUGCAUCUGUAACUCAUGCACUAGUCUUUCCUAAACUGCAAUUCCAGAUCUGAAAUUUAAAUGGAAGAAUAGACAAACAGAGCACCAAGCAGCAAGGGCGGCAAUGGUGGUACUCUAUGUAAUAGCCGUUAUUUGCUUCUUCAUUUUUCUUCACCUCUUCGAAUCGCUAUUCUUGAAACCGGAAAGACUACGAUCGAAGCUCCGUCGACAAGGAAUCGACGGUCCUUCCCCUUCUUUCUUCCUCGGAAACAUACCGGAAAUUAAGAACAUUAGAAGCUUAAAAUCAUUCGAUGAAAAAGAAGAUUCGAUUGCUCAUGGCUGGUCUUCCAAUCUGCUUCCCCAUUUGGAGCACUGGCGGUAUCGAUACGGUAAUUUCUUUAUCUUUAUGUAUAUUAGAUGAUUCCCUGUAGAACUAAUGGUAGGUAUUUAGCUAAACUUGGGUUUGUAAUAAGAGGAGAAGCAACAUAUUAUUAGGGCGUUCAUUUUUCUUUUAUCUUUUAGAAAAUUUCAUUUUUAGUUUGGAUGAAUACGAGUGUGUUUGGUCCACUCCUCUAACAUUUUAGCUCUCAUGUUUAUCAAAUUAAUUAGUGUUAGAAUUUUCAUAAUCUACUUUUUUAGUUUAUGAAUUUCUAAAAAUAAGCUUAUGCGGACUCAUAUUUAAAAUCAGAAAAAUUAGUUUGAAGGAAAAUAAUUUUUUAAUUUAAAAGGUCAUUGAAUAAAAUCAAGACUAUUUUUAAAAACUUGAAAGGCUAAAAGUGUAUAUUUUUAAAAUUCAGAAACCAAACACUUAUUUUUCCAAACUUUAGAACCAAAGAAGGUAAUUUUUUUUUCUUUGAAAUUUAAGAUAAAAAAGACUAGGGUAAACAUGUUGAAACCAAAAUGGGGAUGAAAAUGGAAGAGUGAAAAUUAAAAAGGGUGUCUGAGGAUGAAAUAUUAGUGAUUGGUGGAUUUUAGGAAGAAACUUCGUGUAUUCGAGCGGGACGGUUCAAAUAUUGUGCAUAACAGACGUUGAGAUGGUGAAGGAAAUUGGUAUGUCAACCAAUUUAAGUUUGGGAAAGCCUGCCCACUUUUCAAAGGAUCGUGGGCCGUUAUUGGGCCUUGGCAUUUUGGCAUCAAGUGGCCCACUUUGGGUCCACCAAAGGAAAACUAUUGCUCCUCAACUCUAUCUUGAUAAAGUCAAGGUAAAAUAUCAUUUCUUCAUACUCCACUUUUUUUUUUCUUCUUUUUCUUUUUUUUUUUCACUUUGGUUUAUCAAUUUUCAAUUUUGUAUAUGGUUGAUUUAUGAAUUUUAGAAAUUUCAAAUGUUCCGAAUCUUAUUUUUUAACGACUUAUUUUCAAAAUUAAACACUUGAAAAGUUAAAUCAAACCUAUCUUAAAUUUGUAGUUUGAAAGUUUUGGUCCAUUCAUAAACUAAAUUUAUAGUUCAAGUCGAUCAGCUUGACAUGAAAUUAACUAUUGGGUCAAAAUAAUUCGAUAAAAUUUAUUCUCAUUUGUAGUUUAACAGGGAAAGACAAUUAAUUGAUUUUUGGGGCUAAUUAUUCAACAUAUACAAGAGAAGAUAACUGAGAUAUCUUUGAAUCAAUAGGACAUGACAAAUCUUAUGGUGGAAUCUGUAAACUCUAUGGUAAAAUUAUGGGAAACCAUAAUUGAAAAUGGUGGAGGAGAAUCAGAAAUCAAUGUGGAUGGAUAUUUUAGAGCCAUGUCGGCUGAUAUUAUCUCGAAAGCCUGUUUCGGAAGUAAUUUUUAUGAAGGGAAAGAGAUCUUUCAAAAACUCAGAGCUCUUCAAAUUAUCAUGUCCACAGCAACCAUUGGUAUUCCUGGGUUCAGGUAUAUAUGUGGACAACUUGAUUCUCUUACUUCAAGAAAUAUAGUACAUGUUAAUUAUUGUUGUUGUUGAGCUACGUAGACCUUGACACUGAAACCCAUUAUCAAUAAUUUGAUUUAUAUUGUGUGCUUUAGUAACAGAUGUACAUUUUUGUAUGCUAGAUAUCUCCCCACCAAAAACAAUAGAGAAAUAUGGAAGCUUGAGAAGGAAGUAGAAUCAAUGGUUUUGGAUGUGGUAAACAAACGAAUCAAGCAGUGUUCAAACGAAAAAGACUUGUUGCAAAUAAUUAUCGAGGGUGGGAAAUGUCUUAAUAAAGACGGUAACUCGUUGAAGAUAUCUAGAGACAAGUUCAUUGUUGAUAACUGCAAAAACAUAUACUUUGCUGGCCACGAGACAACGUCAAUAACAACAACAUGGUGCUUGAUGUUAUUAGCAAUACACCAAGAUUGGCAAACUCGUGUUCGUUCUGAGGUGCUUGAAUGUUGUCAAGAUCGCACUCUCGACGUUGAGACCAUUAAGAACAUGAAAACGGUAUUCCUACUCAAUAAUAAUGCCCAAACUUUGAAUGACUUAUUGAGUUACAAAGAAUUCAAUUCUUAUUAUCUUAAAUAAUUAAUUUCUUAUUGUCUCUUGCAGUUGACAAUGGUGAUUCAAGAGACACUUAGGCUGUACCCACCAGGAGUUUUUAUCACAAGAGAAGCACUAGAAGACAUAAAAUUCAAAAACAUCACGAUUCCAAAAGGAAUGAACCUUCAGAUUCCAAUCUCGUUGCUACAUCAUAGUGUUGAUAUAUGGGGCCCAGACGCGCUCACGUUCAAUCCCCAAAGGUUCAGUAAUGGUAUCCUCAAAGCUUGCAAAAAUCCGCAUGCUUACAUACCGUUCGGGGUCGGGCCUCACAUAUGCGCGGGCCAACAUCUUGCAAUGGUAGAACUGAAAGUGAUUGUGAGCGUUAUUGUGUCAAAAUUUGAAUUCUCUCUCUCACCUUCUUACAAGCAUUCCCCUUACUUCAGCUUGGUUGUGGAGCCUAAAAAUGGAGUCAUUCUCAAUCUAAGGAAGCUUUGAUCUUUCUCUUAAUUUACUUAGGAUAUGAAAAUCUUGUAGAACUUGUGAAAUAAAUUAGUUUAUUAGAUAUUUACAGGACAGCACAAUUUGGGUUUGAACUUAGAUUGUUUUAAUUGUAUUGUCCUUAGUUACAUCACCUUGUUAGGCUAGCCAGGACAAUUUCUUUAAUCCUUAAUUAUAUAUUUAGUUCUUAAAUUGAAUUUUAUUAUAUUUUCAAGUUGCAUUAAUUAAUUGGACUGAUGGCUAAACAAGAAAAGACUUUAAAUAAUAAAGUUGGUUUGGUUGGUAGGAUAGUAGGAUCUAAAUUCUAUAUUCAAUAUCUUGCUUCUUCAACUCAAUUUGGAGUUGAAAACUUUUGGUAGGAUUUAAUUGUUCUCCAGACUCAUUCUAAAUUUCAUUCAUUAAGAUAUAUAUUUUUAAAUAUAAUAAAACGAAUCAAUUUUUUUAAAAAUAUAUACCAGUAAUUAUUAUUAUUUACAAAAUCUAAAAUUUUGCUAUCUUUUUGUGAUUAUUUUAAUUAAUAUGGCCAUUUACAUUGAUUUUCAUUCAUUAAGAUUUCAAACCCUAUGCUAAAACUCGAAGCAAAUAUAAAGAAACCCAACCCAACCAAAAAUUAUGAUUGGUCAAUGAGAUAAAGUAACUGAAAAUGCAAAUGUAAAUCAUUGGACUCAUCAACAUGUAUAUAACAAGUCAAACAUAUUUUCAAAAUAAAUACCGUUAUAUUUACAUUUUUUUUCUUGAUUUUUUCCCAAAAUAUGGAAGGUUAGUGUUAGAGAUCAGCAACCAAACACUUUAAAACUAGUUUUUGGGAGUUGUUUUGGAAAUUUCUUAAGAAAAUGAUAUAAAAGAAUAAUAUAAUUUUGGGAUUGAGGCCUUUUUUAUUACCUACAUGUGCAUGAAUUAUUUACCAUAAAAAAUACAAACAAAAUUUUGAUGUCGAUCUCAACUGAGAACAAUUAGAAGAAGCACUACUACAAUUUUAAAAAAAAUGCUAUUUUCAAAAGGGAAAACUUAAAUAGGUUAUUUUAGACAAUUUUCCAAUAGAGUUAUACGUAAUCCAUCUUUUCAAAAAUUUUGUUUAAUUUUUGACAGUGUAAUUUUUAAACUUUAGAAAGAUAAAAAAAAAAAAUCAUCUAGCAAAGUUUUCACUUAAAAACCUAAAAGAAUCUAUAGUUUGGAUAUAAGUUAGAAAAAAAAACUUAUUAUAUAAAUUUCAGUGGUCAAAUCGGUUGAAGACGAAAAAAACUAUUAUAAUAAGUUUUUAGAAAAAAUAUUAGUUUUAGAAAGUGAAACUUAGAAAAUGUUAUUUCUGACAAUUUUCAAAUAUCAUAGUUAUCGAAUCAAAUUUUAAUAUUGGAUUUUAAUUUUUGAGGUGUGUUUAUUUUCUCACAUAUUUUUCUUGUGAUUUUCAUGCAUUUUCUGUGCAUGUAUUUGAAUUCUUAACUAAAUAUUUAAAACGACAAAAACAAGUUUCGUAAAACUAUUUUUUUUUCUAAUUUUUAAAUUUUGGCUUUAUAUAGAAAUUUGCAAAUUGUAAUAGUGUUGAUGUGCUUAAUUUUAAAAGAAUAAAAAAAAUCAAGUGAAUAGAUAAUGAAGCCUAAAGAGUUAAAUGCAAUUCUUUAAAACCUAUUUUUGUUUGUUUAUUUUUUUAUAAAAAAAAAGUUGUCUAAACUUAAAAGGAAAAUAAAUUAGAGCUAAUUGUUGUUGAAAUCUAUGAAUUCCAAAAAAGUAAUUAAAUUAAUCAAUGGUUAAUGGUUAAUGGUUAUUUGUGCAUCAGUCAAACUUAUUUUUGAGCAAAAUUAUAUCAUAUUAAAAUUAUUUUUACAUAGAUCUUUACAUCCUUGUCUGUUAUAACUACUGCACAAAUUAACCAAAACUGAAUCUAAAACGUAAAAAUUUGUUACAUAUAUUUAAGUUUAAGGUCUAUCAAAAUUGAUUUUCUCCACUCAUUUUUUUCUUAUACUAUACUUUCGAAAUAUUUUUUAAUUAACGUUGAUCAUGAUUUUUUUUUUCUUUACACAGAAAAGUAGAUUUCAUGAAUUUGAUUUUGAAAAUAUAAACUAGAGUCCUACCAUUUUCCACUAUGUUUAUCAUUUAAUUGCAUGAUCGAUUUUCAAAGUACAAUAAAUAGUAAACCCCAGUGGCCAUACUCACAACUAAGCUUUAAAAGGAAAUUAAUUAGAGACUAGCGGAUGAUUCUGGUCAAUGAUUAAUUAAAGGCUCUAAAGGUUAGUUUUGGAAGAAUAAUUCAAAAAUGGUAGCAUGAGCUUUGACUCAACCCUAUCCGGCCCAUUGUGUUUGAUGUCAUGAUGAUAAGCUAGACAUGCAUACCAAAAAUCGGAUCAAUUUUGGAAAGAUGUAGACGAAAGGCCUAAAUUAACUAUCAUUUUUCACAAAUGUCUUAAAAAUAUAAUUUAUUUUCUUAAUUAGGAAUUUCUAUCCUUUUUUUUGUGACAAUAUUAACCUUUUAAUCAUUAUUAAUUAUAUAUUAUAUUCGUAAUUAUAUUUAAAUUACUUCUUUAUUGACGGUAAUUUUCGUAACUUCCUUAUAUAAAUUUGUAUCCUUAUUAUGGUAAAAAAUUGAAAAUAUUGUUUUAAUGAAGUAUAACAUAAAAUCUUUUCUAAUAUGAAAUUUUAUGUUAAUUACUUGUAACGGUUAACAAUCUUUCAUCUCCAUCACGUGAACAAUCUGGAAAAUUUCAUCCGACGUUGACAGUCCCUACAUAUAUAUACCACAUUAUAUAUACAAUAUGACAUAUAUAAUUAUAUACAGUAAUAAGUUUGGAUUUAUAUAUGUUAUUUAGUAUAUAUACCUCAUAUUAUAUGCAAUAAUAUUUUAUACAUAAUUUCUACCGAAUUUGUGUUUAAAUUAUUUGUUUAUAUUGUAAAUAUUACUAAAACAGUAGUAAAUGAUAUGAUUAUACAUACAUAUUUUUCCUUUAUAAAUGUAUUUGAUUACAUUAUUAUACUUUAAUAUAUCCACAAUCUAUAAUAGUACUGUUUUGUGUUUUAGUAUAUAUAUACCUCAUAUUAUAUACAAUAAUACUAUAUACUGACAUAUAGUUCUAUUAUUUUUUGAUAGGAUGGCCAAAAUGUAGUUCUUCUUCACCGAAUUCUCAAUAAACUCUAGAAUGUAUCACAUUCAAAACUUAAUUUUCGUUUGUUUGCCUAUUUAAUUGAAUAUCUAAAAUAUACCUAUACAUCAAAUGUUUCAUAUGUUUUGAAUAUAUACAAUACUAAGCUCAAAAUUUCUAGCCAGAUCUGUCGGAUAGGUUUUGUAUUUGCCAACCGUUGAAGGUUUCCUUCUUCACCGUCGAAAUCUCAAUAAACUCUAAAAUGUAUCACAUUCAAAACUACAUUUUCAUUUGAUUUUCUAUUUAAUUGAAUAUCUAAAAUAUACCUAAUAUAUCUAAUGUUUCAUCAUAUGUGUUGAAUAUAUACAAUACUAACCUCGAAAUUUCUAAUUACUAGAUUAUGUUCGAGAAGUUUGUAUUUGUCGGCCAUCGAAUUCUUCACCUUUGAACUCUCUAAAAUUUUGAAGUAAAAACCAUAAUCCACGUUGGAAGGACUACAUGGUGGAUUGAAGCUGACUAAUGCAUAAAAGACGUGUAUUGUGCUUAGCAUCCAUAGCAACAAGAAAUGAAUCAGGAAAUUCUUGGAUGUUGUUGAUGAAAAGGACAUCAUGAUAGUCCAAACACGAGAUGAUGAGUCUUGACGUAGGGAAUGAUUUAUGUUCUUGGCGAAAGAAUUGUUUGAGACUAAUGUGUGUUUACACUAUAUGAUUUGAAAUGUUGAUGCUUAUGAGAUGUAUUAUGAAAAGGUUUUCUAAGAACUUUCUCACUAAGUCUUUUGACUUAUGUUUUAGGCUUUCAGUUCUCAUGUAUUUAGGCAUUGAGGCUAAAGUAAGGUUAAAGGGUGAGAAGUUGCUGGGUGAGAAGAGGAUGUCAGGCGUUUAGUUUAAGUUUUAGUAUUAUUUUCUUGUAUCAUGUAAAGUGUUGUAAAAUGCAUAGUAUAAAGUUAAUAAAAGAAAUUAUUUAUCUUAUUCUUUUGUGUUAAGUUGCAUUACAUCGCAAGUGUAAGUUUAAGUUUGUGAAGUCAUCAAGCAAAGAAUAUGUACCUAGGUGAGCGUUCUUGCAUUUUAUUUUAGAAGCACCAGAAUUACUCUAAGUCGCAUCGCAUUUUGCAUGACAAGUGAUGACGCGUGCGGGGCGGGGUGUGACAAUGUCUCUACUUUUAUGUGUCUAUAUGAACGAUUCAAAAUCACAUCAUUUGUACUAAAUACAAAGUAGGUCGUAUCCGUGAUGUUUCCAUAAUAAAGGUGACCAACCAGCAUAUUCAUAUAUUAUAGACCCUUUACGUUAUGUAUUUGAACUUGAUGCAUUUUUGUAUCUUUGCAUAAAGUUCAAGUUUACUCAAGAUAGCCUUGAAACCUUAGUUUAUUAAAUUCAAGACGAUAAUAUUCAAUUUCACUAAUAAUUCUUCGAUAAUAACUUAAUUUAAUAGAAUAUGAUUCUAAACUACAAACUAUAAAUUUUAAGACAUAAAUUCCAACAAACAAGUUUCUCUAAAUUUUUUUUCCGAUAGAUCCCGUUGAACAUGCAUGUGUUAGAUUUUAGACCGUUGAAUUUUGCUUUUUUUUUUAAAUUUAAAUGCUUAACUAGUUUUUUAAUUUGGCUAAUUUAUAGAAAAGUGGAAAUUUCACGUAUGGAAAAAAAACCAAACUAUUUAGGGAAGCAGCCUUUCUCAAAUAAAAAAUUUAAUUAAAGUAUUGUGAUUGGUAUGCUGAAAUGAAUAGAAAUAUUUUUGAAAGCAAUAAAAUAUGUGUUCUUUUCUAAAGAAACAAAUGAUCAAUUAAAUAGAAUACUACACAAUAAAUAAUAUAAAUAAUUAAAUUGAUGUUAAAGUUCAACCGUUAGUUCAUUUAAAUUGUAUUAUUAAAAUCUUGUGUUGAUGAUUGAUCUCAAGGUAUAAUUAAAUAAUAUUUAACUAUUAAAAGUACAACUUAUUAUUUUAUUGUUUACUUAUUAAUUAACUUUUUUUUUUUUUUUUGUUCAUUUUUUAAUAAAAGAGAUUCCAAAAUUUCAUGCUCACGCAUGAGAAUCUUUUUAGGCUUAGAAUACAUACGUCUCCCGAAUCAGUAGUAGUAUAUGUAUGUGUUUUGAAGUACAUUGAUACUUUGUUUGAGUUGGAAAGAUUUAAUUAAAACCUUGAAUUAAAAUUCGAAGUUAAGGUAUCUUUUGAUUUUCUUAACCUAAAUAAUUUUCUUUUCUGGUGGCUAUUUUAAAUGCUUUAAUUUUAUUCAAUCAUUUUAGAGAUUUUUUCAAGAAUAAUAUAAUUUAUUUACACUUCGACAAAAAACAACUCUGGAACAAAAACUUAUAUAUAUAUUUUUAUUGUUGCCUUUUGUUUUCUUUUUGGAUGUAGACAUGCAUUGUUAUGAUUUUUUUUUUCUUUUUUUAGAAAAGAGAGUUUAGGUUUAUUUUGGAUGAAGCUUUUUAAUAUUUUUUAGCAAUCAUUUCAUAAAUUUGUGUAUGGCUUUUCUAAUGAGUGGAGUGUAUACAUGAAUGUAAUUGGCAUAAAAAGAGUAAGUAGGGAAGUGAACAGAGCUUUUUUUUAUGGUAUUUUAUGCAUAUAUAUCGGUGUUGAUAAAAGUCUCAACUGGAUAAGGGGAUGAUGUGUUCAAGGAAAACAACUAUCAUCAAUCCUACAAAGCCUUUUAGGUGAAACAAAAAAUAAAAUCACGAGGGUAUAAACUACCAUAUGAAGAAUUCUUGAUAUCUUCAUUAGAGGUUUCAUUGUAUACGGGAUAAGAGAAUUAAAGAAGAUCUUGAAGAUUUGAUAAAGUCUUUAAAUUUUGAAGCUUCACGCAAGUUUUAGUGUGUGAAUUAUUGGAUGUUUAUUCGAAGAAAUUUGUGUUGCUGAAGAAGGUUGUCAAAGGUACUUUAGUUACCUUUUGGGUUAUGUCGAAUUAUUGAAGAUUGAUUAGCGGUCUUAGUAUCAGUUGAUAAGAAAUAUGAAAGAAACUGAAAUAGUUGAACUACGGUUAAUGAAUUCAAGAUGAGCUUUAGUUUAUCUUCAAGUAGAUUUAAACAUAAACUCAGAAGAAGUCUGUUUUUUAUUAUGUUUCUUUUAUAACUUAAAAGUAUUGUUGAUUUCUCAUUUGAAUCCUUAAUAAUAUUUCUUAUUGGAGCAGAGAAGCUCUCCAGACGUAGGGGUAUUCGACGAACUAGGUUAACAAACAAAGUCUUUUAUGUUAUUUGUUCUCUGUUAACAACUUUCAAUAUAGCUAAAGAAUAUUAUUAAUCGUCUCACUUAUUUUCAACAACAAACACAAAAUAUAUAUUAUCAUUUAAAUUUGAACUUAAUAUAUUUUUUAAAAAUAUUUAAUCGAUAUAGCCAGAGAUAAGUUGUAAUUUAAAUUGAUAUUAAUUUUAUUAUAUUAAGGUUUUCAAAAGGGAAAAUUAACAAACUAUUUACAUUCAAUUAUAAAUAUUUUGUCAAAUGUUUAGUUUUUUUACAAUUUUCUUUAUUUUUCAUAGCAAACUAUUUUUGAAUUCGUUAAAAUUUAUCGUGUAAAUCAAUUUUCUUUUUUACUCUACGACAUUUUUUCAGUUUGAGCAAAAAUUGUAUGGAAGUGUCCUUGAAUAGAACUUGGCCCUACUAGAGGAAACAUUAAUAUUGAAUAUGCAUCCCGAUAUAGGAAGGGCCCUAGUACUAGAGGUUUAGAAUUAGCAUACCUCUUCCUAAUAGUGUAUUGAAAAAAUCAUAUAUAUAAAUCGUAAAGAAAAUACAAAGUUUAAAUUUAAAUAAGUAAAAUUUUGUCUAGGAAUAAAAUAUAAAUUACUAUCGAAAAUGUAUAGAUCUUAAUUUUACAAAAAUCACUAUAGAUAAAAUGUGUAUGUUAAUACAUAUUUCUAAAAAAAAAAAAAAUUAUAGGCACAAAAGAAUUUUAAAAAAAUAAAUUUGUAAAUAAAUGCUAAAUGAAUUUUAAAAUAAUUAAAAUAUUUAUUGCUUAUAUUGUAUUUAGUAAUAUUUUAUUGUUUAUAUAACGAAAAUGUUAAUUCAAUGAUGAAUCUAUAAAAAUAUGGAAGUAUGAAAGAAAAUAUUGAUAUACUGAUGGUUUUUAGAAGAUAGAUGAUUCCAAGCUUGUAUACAAAAGUUGACAAACCUUACCUAACCAAGGUGGAUGUUCAAUCUUUUAAUUUUGAUAUAAAUAAAUAAAAUAUUAUUUAUUAACUAGAGGUUUUUUUUUUAUAAAGAUACAUUUUAAAUAACAAAACUUUUGAAAAUUUUAAAAAGAUCUAUUUAUACUCCAAAAAUAUUGCAACUAUUUACAAACUAAAAAAUUCAUAUCUCUACAGCCAUUUGAAAAAAAAAUUGCUAUUGUGACAAAUCUCUAUAUAAAAAAUUAAUAAUAAAAAAAUUAAGAAUCUUUUAAUCCAAAAUAAAAUAAAGAAUACUUGCCGCGCUCAUUGACCUUCAAUUAAAACAGCGUAAGCUGUGAGAAACAAAAAUUGUGCUCACCGAAGCUUCAUUCAAUAAGAAAUCAUAAGCCGAAUUCCUAAAAUCCUCUCGUUCUUCUCGAUUUUCCACCGCCAUUUUCCAUGGAUUUCCCUAAGGUUUCCGCUGGAAAUUAUGUGAUUCCAUCUCUUCUCUUCGCCGGAAUUCUCUUAUUUUGCAUUACUGCUUCCUCUGUUUUGAGUCCUUUCCCUUUUCUCUCCAACGGACGCCAAUGCAGCAGCACGAAGCUUCCUAAUCAGGUCUCAAUCCUGCAAUCGCAUUCUCUGUAUCUAUUUUUUUUAAUUCAUCGUGAAAUCCUUUUGGACUAAUUUUAACAGCGUAAUCUUAGUGAUUUUGACUCUGUUUUGCCUCGCUACUCGUGAUUCGUGAAGUCACCUAUCAUUUUCGUGUUUUCUGCAAUUUAGAUUAGAUUGUGUGAAUUGGUUCUGGAUUAACUGCUUUGGAACAUCAUUUGUGAUUUCAUUCCUUCUUUGUCAUUUCUUGUGUAAUUUAGAUUUCUUUGAAUUGGUUCCGGAUUAACUCUUGCUGAACAGUAAUUGUGAUUCAUUUAUUGCUGAACAUGACUAGUGAUCUCAUUCAGUCUUGAUCAUUUUUGUGCAAUUUCAAAUCGGUUAUGUGAAUUUGCUGAACAUGACAAGUGAUUUGAUUCUGUCUUUAUUAUUUUUGUGCAAUUUUGAAUCGAUUUCUAUGAAUUGGUUUUGGAUUACUUGUUGCUGAACAUUACUAGUUGUCUGGUCCUGUCUUUUUCAUUUUUGUGUAAUUGCGAAUUAAUUGUGCGAAUUCACUAUCGAUUUUGUGUAAUUUGACACUGAUUACGAACUCGUUCUGGAUUCAAUUUUUGUAGAAUAGCACCAGCGAUUAUGAUUCUGUUAAACCACGAGACGAGCUUGAAUUGGCUCUAGCCAAAGCGUCAAUGGCGAACAAGACGGUGAUAAUCGCCGUCGUAAACAAGGCGUACGCCAAUCAAGAAACCGGAGCGGUUACGACUAUGCUGGACGUGUUUCUUGAUAGUUUCUGGCUGGGAGAAGGCACACGGCCUUUGGUAAAACACAUCCUUCUCGUCACCGUGGAUCAAACGGCGUACGACCGGUGCCAGUUCCUUCAUCUGAACUGCUUCCGGCUGGUAACGGAUGGCGUCGAUUUCGGCGGCGAGAAGCUUUACAUGUCGGAGGAUUUCAUCAAGAUGAUGUGGAGAAGGACUCAGUUUCUCUUGGAAGUCCUCAAACGGGGAUACAACUUCAUCUUCACGGUACGUUCUCUUAUUUCGAGCAUAAUUUUAUAUAUUUCUUUCUUUCUCCAAUCAAUCAUUUUUCGAAAAAAAUAAUUUCAUUUUCAACUGCAUCAAUUUUAUUUAAUCAACAUCUAAUGCCGAUAAAUCUUAGUAACUUACGCUUUCAAGUUUAACCCUACUAAUUAAGAAUUCUUUGAAAAGUUGAAAUAUGACUCCUUUGGAGAUGCGGAAAAAAUAUAGAUUUACAAAACUCAUUCUAUCAUUCUCUUAAUAACCACUUUCUUUUCAAUUGGAAUUGAAAUUUAUAAACUAAGAAAAUAAAUAAAUAAAUUAUUUGAAAAGGUACGUGACGCUACUUUCAAAAUCUAUAAAAUAUUUUAGUUCAUUAGUCAAACUUAUUUUUUUGAUUGAAAUUAUUGAGUUUGUAAACAUGUUUUAGGUUGAAAUUAGUAGAGAAUUAAUCCAAAGUUAAAGUUCUAAUUAGUUUUAGGGUUCAAUUUAUGAAAUGGAAAUUUUGAGGUAUAAGUUGAUCUCUUUUACUCAUUUACUCUAACUAAAUUGCUUAAACUAUUACUUUGAUAAAUUUUGUAGAAGAAGAUUUUCUUUGGUGUGACCUCAACCAACUAACUUGAUUUACGAAGGAAAUUUAUGAAAUCCAAAUAUUAUAACUAAGAAUAAUAAAAUUAAGAAAAUAUCUUCAAUGAAAUCUAAACAGAAAAAGAAAUAUCAAAAUUUAACCAUUACUAUUUUAUAUAUAUAUAAAAAAAGAGUAUUACUGUGAUUAUGUUUAUUUGAUUACGUAGGGUGUUGAUUCAAUUUGUAUUCGUUAUCUAACGAAUGAAACUAAUAUAAACUUUUGUAAUUAAGGAAAAAAGUAUUAACUUAGUUUAGAAUUAUUUUCACCCCUCAAAUUCUGUUAAAAUGUUUCACUCAUAUUAAUGCUGGGAAUAGUUCAUAAUGACGGCUUUAUUAUAUUUAGGGCAACAAUUAGGUUUGACUUAGUUUUUACCUAAUUUUAUUCUCUUAAUUUUGUAAACACACAGAAAACAACAAACAAAAUUGCUACACAACAGUUUUUUACUGAACAAGUUCUUGAACGAAAUAGAGAUAGAUGUUGCCUUGGAUCAUCCAAGUUUCUUUUUUUUAAAAAAAAAAUUAUUGUAUUUAAGCAUGCACUAUUUUUAACUUUUAUUUAUUUAUUUCAUAUCUUGCACCCUUUUUUAACCUUUAGCAAUUGAUUUACCUCUUUUUAUGUAUAAAAAUUGAUUUUUCUUUUUUUUUUAGGAAAUUGAUUUAACUAUUUGAUUUAUGCUUCCAAUAGAAAUAUUCUUAUAUGUCGAGCUUUAAAAGAAGAUUCCUAGAUACAAAACAAUUAAUAAAGAGAUGGUCAAAGGCUUUUUAUAUAAAUCUAAAAUAUUUAAAUGCUAUUUGAUCCAUGUGGAUUACUGUUUAGUAUUUGAAUGUUGUUGGUGUUCUUCAUAUAAUUACAUCGUACAACUAGUCUAAAAUAAACACCAGGAAGACCCUCUAGUUCAUCUGUCAAUUAUUAAAGAAAAAAAAAAAGCGUAUAUUCAACUCUCUAGUUCAUCUGUCAAUUGAAAAUUUCUGAACAAUAUGGCUGGCUAGCUGUUUUGAAUUGUUAAAUGUAUGGUAGGGAAACUCAAAAACAAAUGAAAACCCUCAAUUCAUACCAUGUGCUAUUUGGCAACCAUGGAUUUUUUAAUAUAAUUCCAUUGCAUCAUCAAUAAUUUUGAUUGAAUUACACAUUUAAAAACUUUUGAAGAUUCAAAAUUAUACCAUGUUGAAAUUUUAUUUAUUUCUUUAUUUUUAAAUUCAGGAAUCUAUUAUAGAUUAAACAAAAAAAAUAUGUAAUUUCAUUGAAAAUAAAAUCUAAAUUUAUAUCUAAUUGAACAAUCAAGUUUUUUAAAUUAAAUUUUAUCAAAAUUUAUUAGAAACAACUUUGAAAGUUUUGAAAAUUUAGAGUUAAUUGAACACCAUUUGCAUUUUUUUUAUUUAAUUUGGAAUAUGAACAUUUUUAAAAUAAUAAAUUAUUAAAACUAUUUACCAGAUCUAGUGAAAUUAAUCAAUAUCUCUUUUAAUAUAUAUUUUUUUAUUAUCCAUAAUAAUCUCCAUUUGAAAUGUGUGUUUGUUCCAAUUUAUACUAUACAAAUACCCUCCAAAAUUGAAAAAGGAAAAACAAGUUUUUAGAAUUUAGUGUAUUUGAAAACGCUUCCAAACAAUAGCAAUGAUAAAAUUGGUAUCUGUGAACUUAAUUAAAAAUAAAUAAAAAAUCAAUGAGAAACUCAUUGGACAGAGAUCACAAUUGUUAUUAUUAUUAUUAUUAUUUUGGGAGAAUGGCCCAAUGAUAUCUUAACAUCUAGAGCGAUCAAAACUUAAAAAGUCUACAUAUACACAAUGAACAAGAUUUGACUUUUAAAAUCUUAAAUUUAUUUACUAAAUAAAUGGUGAAGUUAACAUCAUUCACUAGUUAUGGGUGUCAGUGUGUUAUUAAUUUAUUAGAUGAUUUAUUCCCAGCGAGGGGAAUUUUAUUUUAUAUUAGUAGCUUAUUUGGAUUGUUUUUUAGUAUAAUAAUUAUUGGGGAGAUUCAACCUUUUAGAAGAUGAGAUGCAUAUCUCAAAAUCAAAGCUUAUUUUAGGUAAAAUAUGAAAUGAUUUUUAAUUAGUUUUUAGAUAAACUUAUAAUUCAAUUUAAUCGUUAGACAGAUAGUUUUUUGAAAAAAAAUAAAUUUUCAUCAUCUUUUCCUAUUUAGUUUCUUGAUCACAAUUUAAAUAGCACUUCUUGGUUAACUUCAUGUGUUUUAGUCUUCAUCUUUAAAUUUAUUGCAAUGUUUGCUUUUGUCCCUUGCUAGAGUAAAAGAACGAAAAUUAGUUUCUUUUUUCAUUCAUGAAUGUUAAACUUGGUUUAGAUAAGUUCAUAUUUGAGAAUAUGGUUGGAGAUUUUGAUUUCUAAUAUUGAUUCAUAUAAUAUAAGUAUUUGAAAAUUUACAAUGUUGUAAACACGGUGAUGAUUAGUGUAGUAUUGAAGAAACAAUUAUCGAAUGGAAAUCUCUCGUCUCAUACUUAAAAUUCUAAUUAAGUAUGGAGAAAAUUAAUUCUCGUUAAGGUAGAUGAGAGUUUAUACUCACCCAUCCAAUGGUAGUAGGCGAAGAAUUGAUCCUCACCAUCCAAUAGUAUUAGGUGGAGAUCAAUCCUCACCAUCCAAGGGUGAUAUGUGGAGAUGAAUCUUCGCCUCCCAAUUAAGGAAGAGAGAGUAUAAAUACUCUUUGGAUGUCUCAUUUGGGAGAUAGAUUGGAAAACCAAAUCAAAGUCUCUCUUUCUCAAUGUAAGUGUUCUCCCUUUCUUUGUCUUACUUUCAUAAUUCUUCAUUCACAUUCAAGCAAAAGAAGGCGAGAUCUCGAAAUCAAAAGGAGGGACAAGGAUGAAGACUGGUAGAAGUUUCCCAAAUGAGUAGGCUUAUUUGUCUUAUCGGAUUCUUCGUUAUGAGAGAAUUGAAUCAGUCUUCUUUGAAUUAAUAAAGACAGAAGAAAAAUCUGUUACCGGGGUCACUCAAGGGAAUAAAGGGGUCGGGCGAGUCUAUUCCGCGUAUGAUCUCUUUCUGAAGAGAGAUCUUUAGUACUUUCUCUCUAUUUGUCUUACUUUAAUAAUUAUUGAGGUUAUCAUGGUUAAACUCUUGUUCAGUUCUUUUUAUUCCUAGCUAGAAAGACAUAGGGUGUACUACCAUUGGAUGGUGAGGAUCAAUUCUCCACAAUACUACCAUUGGAUGGUGAGGAUCAAAUCUCCACAAUACUACCAUUGGAUGGUGAGGAUUGAAUUCUGCAUCUACUAACAUUGGAUUGUUUGUUUUCUGUAAGAAACAAAUUUCAUUGACGAGUGAAAUUACAAAAAUUGUCAAAAUUAAAUUAAUGAGGUUACAUAAUUCCAAUUGGUCAAAAGAGAAGAAAGGGUAUAAAAACUAAAGUAAGGUACGCAACUAUACCAACUCUUGGCAUGAAAGAUAAUGAUGUCAAAAUAAUUAUCAAAGGAGGUUCCUUUGUCUUGGAAGGGUUGCUUGUUUUUCUCCUUCCAAGUGAUACAUAAGAAGAAACGAAUCAAAUGCUACCACAUUAGCUGUUUUUGCUGAGUGAAAGGAUGGUUGGAGAAUGCAGAUGUGAGGGCUGCAAUUUUGUGUCCUUGGGGAAGGCAAUGUACCAACCAAAGAAAAGGUGGACUUUCUUCCAAAACCUCUUGACAAAAUUAAAAUGUAAAAAAAGAUGAUUUAUUGAGUUCGGUCCAUUCAUACGGCUGAGGCAACAAUGUGGAGAAAUGGCAUCGUAGGAAUGGUGAAUUUGAAGUUUCUCUGUUAUGCUAAUGGUAGAGUGAUUAAUUUCCUAAAGAAAAACUUAGUUUUUCUUUUAUAGAAAUCAUUUCAAAUAGUAGCAUGGAAGGAUGCUAAGGGGGCAUUUUCAACAAGCCCCAAAUCAUAGGCCAAGGAUCUAGUUGUUAAAUGUCCUUUGGUGCCGAGCUCCAAAAACCAUUUAUCUAUGGUCAAUCAAAGGUGUGUAAUCUGUAGACUGCUCAUAAGAUCAAUUCAAUUGGAUAUCUCAUAAUCCUUUAAGUUUCUUCUGAUGAUGAGAAACCAACCAUGACUAGGUCAUAUAGAUCAUGUAUGCAAGAUCCUUUUUUAUGUUAAAACAUAUGUAAAACAAUAAUUAGCUUAUCUAACUGUUUCAAGAAAACAGUUACUUGUAACUAAUCUUGAAAUGUCAAUAAGUAAACAAUCUCUUGGCCAAGAUAGGCAGACAUUUCAUUUGAGGAAUUAAUUUCAACUUGAAUUACAUCACUUUUUGUGUGUACAAGUUGUAUAAUCCAGGAUAGAGCUCUUUGAGUGCAGAGAUUUUGUUCCACCUCUUAUCUAAAAAAGAAGUGUCCUUUUUUUUAUCGACGACAUUAUAUUGAUUCUGACUUUAUCUUUGAUAAGAGCCACGAAAUCCAACAUGUCUCUCCAAGGACGCCUAGCGUAAUUAGAAAAUGAGUGGUUUGGCUAAAGAGUCAUGAGGGAGCUAUACGCUUCAUAUAUUUAUCAUCAAUCACCUGUUUCCAAAGAGUCCCACCCUUGUUAUAGUAUCAGCAAACCCACCUAGCAAGAAGGACAAUGGUUCUUGUCACUUCUCUUAAUACCAAAGCCACCCUAAGCAUGAGAAUGGAGUAACUUGUCCCAUAUAACAAGGUGGGAACCAUGUUGAGAAAUGCACCCCUCCCAUAGAAAGUUCUUGUGUAGUUUCUCCUAAUUUUAAGCAGACAAUUUGAACAAUGACGUGUAAUAGGUAGGGAGACUAGGGUGGGUGACUUGUAGAAGAGUAAGACAAGUCUUUUUUCCAAAUAUUUUUGAUGACUGGCUUUCAAAAUGAUAUCAGUUUUGGUUUUCCAAAUAAGGGAAGCCUAAGGUAGGUAUUUGGCCAAUGAUGCAAUUUAUAAUUGUAUCUAGUGGCUAUCUGCUUCAAGUUAUCAGUUGAUAAACAAGUGCUAUAAGUUCAGUUUUAUUAAGGUUGGUAUUAAAGCCUGAGACCUUCCCAAAUGACUUAAUGAUGGUGAAAAGGUUAUCAAGAGGAUCUUUACAAUAAUCAGAAAAUAAGAUGGUAUUGUUAGAUCAAUCUGUAGAGAAUUAGUUCUAAGACAAAAAAAAAACCCUUCAUUUGACCACAUGUGGUAGCAUUUAAUGAGCAUCCAUGUGAGACAAUCCAAAGUAAUGAAGAAAAAAAAAGGAUGAUAAAGGAUCCCUAUCCGAGACCUCUUGCAACUUUGAUCUUACCCCUAGGGCGGCCAUUAAUCAAAUCAAGAAAUUAGAGGAAGAAAUACUCUUAUCCACUUACACCAUGUGUCACCAAAGCCCUUUGCUUUUGGGAGAUAAUUAUCAAAUAUCAUAUUAAUCAUCACACAAUGACAAUUAUCAAAUACAUAAAUUAUAUGAAUCAAUAUUAGAAAUCAAAAUUUCUAACUGUUAUCAAUGAGCUGUCAAUAAAGAUUACAAAAUUAGAGAUAAAGUUAUAUCACUCCAAAAUAUAAAAUUAAAAAGAAUUUUUAAUUUCGAAAUUAGAUUUAAGUACUAUUAUGAUCGAUAUACAUUUAUAUUUUGCUUAUUUUAAUAAUUGUACUUCUAAAGUAUUCGUCAACACUUUUUGUUUAUAAAAUUUAGACAAAAAUGCAUAAUAAAAUCUCUGUAAGACAAAUUUAUGAUUACAUUCUAAGAAAUUUAAUGAGAAUUGUGAUUGGAAAAGUUAAGAGAAAACAAAAAAAAUGAGAUAACGGAACAGGUUACUCUAAAUUAAAAUCAAAGUAUGGGAGGGAAAAAGGAUGAAGUUUUCUGUUAUAUGUGACCAACCUAUUUCAAAUCACCAAUAUUUCUGGAUGAAUUUAGCCCAUUUUCUCUCUUGAUGGCCCAAUUAGUAACAAGGCCUAAUAAUGAAGGUCCAUUAUAUAAAGAAGCCCAAUUAAUCAGUUUUAUGAUUGAUUUCCUUGUUUCACAGGACACAGACGUAAUGUGGCUUCGUAACCCCUUCACGAAGCUGAGUCCCAACAAAACAGAGGAUCUCCAAAUCAGCACCGACGGUUUCUCUGGCAACCCAUUUGGGGAGGAGAAUUUCAUAAACACCGGAUUCUACUUUGUCCGAUCAAACAACAAAACCAUUUCCCUCUUCCAAAACUGGUAUGAUCUGAAAGACAAUUCCACAGGUAAGAAAGAGCAAGAUGUUCUUCUAGAGCUCAUCCAUGGCGGCAUCAUAGGGAAACUUGGCCUCAGAGUCCGAUUCCUCGACACCCUUUACUUCAGCGGUUUCUGUCAGGAAAGUCGGGAUCCGAGGGAAGUGACGACGGUUCAUGCAAAUUGCUGCCGGAGCAUCGUCGCGAAGGUCGGCGAUCUCCGGGCGGUGCUUUAUGACUGGAAGAAGUUUAGGGAGAUGAGUUCUCAUAAGGGGUUGGCGAAUGCGACGGCGGAGUUUAAGUGGUCGCCGCAUUCGGGGUGUUUGAAUUCAUGGAGUAACUAAUAUACAAGUUUGGUUGAAACGUCCAACAUCCUCCCCGUCGGUAACCCUUUCAUUUUUAAUAUUUUGGUUUUUAAAAAUAAAUUUCCUCUUUUUUCUCCUUCAAAUCAUGGUUAGCAUAUAAUUUUCAAACUUUGCUUUUAUUUUUAAAAAUAUUAGUAGAUGAUGGAUAGUAAUGCAAGAGCUUUAGUUUAGUUUUCAAAAAUUUAAAUUAAAAAAAAAAAAAAAACCUAAUUAGUCUAUAAAAAUCACCUACAUAUUUUGUUGUUUUAAUUUUAGAGUUGUUUUUAAAGUUGAGGUCAAAUUAAGAAAUUAAAAAAGAAAAAAAAAAGGUAGUUUUGAAAAUGCAGUUUUUACUUUUGAAAUUGUUUAAUAUAAAAACCAUGAAUAAGAAGAUGUGAGAAAAUAAGUUUAAUUUAAAAACCAAAAACAAAAAUUGAAAGGAUUACCGAUAAGUUUUAGUUGGUUUGAUUUUGGUAGGGUUGCAUAUAGAGUUUAGUGGGUCUUUUUCUUCUCUUCUUUUAUAGUUUAAGUGGUGGUGGGAGUAUGAGGGUUCGACCUCCAACCUUGACAUGAUGUAGAUGUCAAUUUUAAUGUUAUGCUCAAUCUAACCAAUAACUUAAAUUAAAUAAAAUAUAUUUAUAUUUCAAUCUUGCCUAGUGAUGCAUCACUCCCACGGAUUUAUUAAGAGAUCAGGGAUUCACGUCACAUUUUCAAUUUUUGUAUUUUAAUAUUAAUUUUGUAGUGUUAGAUUAUAAUAUAUAUUAAAUAAUAUUACUAAAUCAUGUCUCUGGUAUUGUGGUUGUGUCCCUUUUAAAGCCUCAAGGUCCUUGAUUUGAAUCUUGUCUACUACAUCUACAUAUGAUUUUUGGAUCGGCUUAUUCAUCAAUCUCACGCAACUGUUUACGCUCAACAAAAGUAUACUUCUAAAAUUAAAAAGUAUCAAAUUAGUACACAUUUGUGUAUACGUGGUCUCCAAACCUUUUUUUUUUAAAAAAAAAAUGCCUUAGUUUAUGAAUUUUAAUUUUAAUUGUGUACAUAAACUUGAUUCUCUAUGGGUAGUACUAAAAAUUUGAUGACUCUUUUUCAUUAGAAAAAAAAGUCGACUUUCUUUCUAAUUAAUUUGUACAACAAAUGAAGGGGUAGAAAUUCCAACUUCCAAUUUUAGAAAAAAAGUACUCAUAAUGUUAAUUGCUAACACAUGUUCUUUUUAUUUCUCAACAAAAUUUAGUCACAUCUACUUUUAUAAAAGUAAUUCUCUUAUUAAAAAAGGUAUAGAGUAGGGAAUAAGUUUUUAACAAAAUCACCCAAAAAAAUAAUUAAUGAAUAAUUUUGAUUAUAGUAUUAUCAUGAUAGAAUUAAUCACAUGUCAUAUUUACAUAAAAUAUCUAAUAAAUGCAAAUUUUAAUUCCAUGUGAUGUUUCACUUUCCUUAUUUCAUUUUUCUAUUUUUUUAGUAUAUUAUUAAUAAUAAGGAUCGUUAAUUUGGUCUUUUCAACUCUAUAUUUGUAUAACAUUAAGGUCCAUUGAACAUUUAUGAAAAAUUUGACAACAUUAUGUCUAACUUGUAAUAAGACACCUAUUUAAGAUCUCUAUUUUAAUAAUAUUAAAAAUUUGAGUCACGUUAGAUCAAUCCAAAAUUUAAAAAAUGUAAUGAACCCUAACUCGACCCAAAAAAAUCAUUAAAAAUUCAAAGUUGAGAAUGAAAAUUAAUCCAACACAAACAUUACAAAUUGGGGAUGGAUGAUCCGAAUUGUUUAGGCGCUAUAAAAGGAGCACUACAAUUAAGACCAAAGAUUAUAAAUAAAUGAAUGUGUUAAUUUUGUAAAAUUCGAAAUAUUUUCAAAUACAUUACCAUUUUGCUAUAACUGUUUUCCUAUUUAAAACACUUUCUCUUUUAAAUUUAUUGAAAUGUUCAUAAAUAAGUAUAGUUUAUUUUCUUUUCUCUUUUCUCCUUUUUUUUUUUUUUUUUUUCUCUUUUGGAUUUUUCUUUCCAUCCACAAAAAACAGAUCCUAUUCUUCUAAUGGUUUUAUAGAGAAAAAGAAAAGAAAAAAGGAGUGAUUAUGAAACAAACACGUAAACAAAUAAACUCAAAAUUAAGGCAAAGAAAGAGAAGGAACAAAAUAUCCAUAAAUUAAGGGGACAGGCAGAGAGCACCGUUUCAUAAAGACCAAAUUAAAUUAAAAGGCUUUUUCAUUCUCAUUUCUUUCUCACCGAUAAAAACGAUGACAUAGAUUUAGCAAAAAAAUUAACAAUAAAACUAAAAACAAUAACAAAGUAAUAUUUUUCACGCAACCAAAUCUUACCUUCCUUAUUUGGUCUUUCUUCAACAUUCAGACCCUUUUCCCCUUCCUUCAAACCACUAACCCCCAAACACAUUAAGAAACACACACAAGACCUCUUGAAAACUUUUCCUAACCAUAAUCACUAAGUUGUGAAAAUCAAGGCUCCACAAUUCUCCUCUCAGUACCUGUAGUGAGCAGGCUUGUAUGGUCCCUCAACUGGCACAUUAAUGUAGUCAGCUUGAUCCUUGCUCAGCUUGGUUAGCUUAGCCCCCAGUUUGCCCAGGUGAAGUGCAGCCACCUUCUCGUCCAGGUGCUUUGGCAACACAUACACCUUCUUCUCGUACUUCCCGGAUGCCCUCUCGUUCCAUAGCUCGAGCUGUGCAAUCACUUGGUUUGUGAAUGAGCAGGACAUCACAAAGCUGGGGUGUCCGGUGGCACAACCUAAGUUCAUGAGUCGCCCCUCAGCCAACACGAUGAUGCCGACAUUGGUUUCAGGGAAGACCCACCUAUCUGUUUGAGGCUUGAUGGUGAUACGCUUCACACCAGGGUAAUUCUCAAGACCGAGCAUGUCAAUCUCAUUGUCAAAGUGACCAAUGUUGCAAACAAUGGCAUUGUUCUUCAUCUUUCUCAUGUGAUCAACCAUGAUGAUAUCUUUGUUACCGGUGGUGGUGACGAAGAUGUCAGCCUCCGAGACAGCAUCUUCCAGGGUGAGUACUUGAAGGCCUUCCAUAAGAGCCUGGAGGGCACAAAUUGGAUCGAUCUCAGUCACGAUCACACGAGCUCCAGCUUGCUUGAGGGCAGCGGCACAACCCUUUCCCACAUCUCCAUAACCGCACACAACAGCUACCUUACCGGCAAUCAUGACAUCGGUAGCUCUCAUCAGAC